AAAUAAACCAUCUGAUCAGGUCAAUUGAUGAGAAGAUUAUAUAUGAUGAAAUAAACAAAAAUAAAGAACACAAAAUAAAAUGGUAUAGUGAAUGACUGAUAUUUUAAGGAUUAUGAAUAAUUAUUACAUUGUAUUUUCGACUCUGACUACAUUUGAUAGGUUAUACUGUCAUCAGUGAUAUGUAUAUCUUUUUGUUGUGAAACAGGAGUAUCUGUUUAUUAGCAUCACUGACUAUAUAUUCAAAUAAACUAUAUAAUUGAUAUCUAUAUAAUUUGUGGUUGGAUCACUUAAUUGAUGUGGUUGAUUAUGGUGUAUGUAGAUUGUACUAUAAGUGAUAAUAUGAUGAAAUACACCGUAUUUGGAAUGAAUGGAAUAUGUAUGUGUUUGAAUAUGUCUUUGAAUACAAGAUUUAAUAUGCGUUUGAUGACGGUAUGAAAAAUCAUAUAUUUUACAAGCUUAUUAUGUAGAUGAUACUGGGAUCAAUUGUAUCUAUACAAGCUUAUUAUGAGAAAUGGUAUCUGGCUAAUAACAUCAGUGACUUGUAAUCUCUACAAACAAUGUAUUUAAAUCUUAUUUCUUUUAUGGUUUAAGUACUCUAUUGAUGAGCUAAGUAAUGCGCUUAUAAAAUAUUAGUAUGCACAGAGUCAAUCCUCUUUGAGUUCAACAACAAGCAUAAUGAAAAAAAGUUCACCCAAACUUUGGAAGGAAAAAAGAAAGACAACAAAUGGCAAAGGUAAUAAGAUAAUAUGAACAUCGGGUUCACAACUUCGAGCAUGGUACAUUUAAACUUUCUUAUGCUACCAACUUAUAGGUUAAAGGAAAAUUUUCAAGUGAAGACAAACUCUCAAUUAUGUCAAAAAUAAUCCAACAACAAGGGUUAUAUUAAAACACAUAAGAAUAUCUCGUACUACAAGAUGCUUAAUUAUAUUGCGUAAGUUAUAAAUCGUAUCUUAUUAAUGCAGUGCAUUUUUUUUAGUUGAACACAACCAAAGAAGAGUUGAUAAAGAUGACAGAGGAUAAAGAAAAACAACUGAAGAUAUCAAUUGAUAACCAGUAUAAAGAGAUUAAGCCAACGGCUACCAGAAUAAGGAUAGAUGCAGCAAGAGAGAAAAUAUGCACAUAUAUCAUCAAACAACGAGAAGGAGAAUGCAUAUCCAGACAUGCUAUAAUUUGAUUUUCAUAUGAAAGCUUGAUAAUUCAUCAUUAAACUUUUAUGUUAUGGGUUCUUCAAUUUAUGAAAUGAUAUUUUGUUUUGUUGAUUUAUUUAUAUUGAAACAAUAUAUUCGUUUAUUUAAUCAAAAUCUAUUAUUAUUUUUAGAUACAUGGAUUCUAAGUACAUUGUAUUUGUUAUUCAAAUCAUUAAAAUGUAAAUAAAAUAUAUGGAUGUACUUCAAAUGCUUAAAUUUGAAAUGCAUUUUAUGUUAUGGGCUCUUCAAUUUUUGAAAUGAUAUUUUGUUUUGUUGGUUUAUUUACAAUGGAACAAUAUAUUCGUUUAUUUAAUCAAAAUCUAUUAUUAUUUUUAUAUACAUGGAUUCUAAGUACGUUGUAUUUGUUAUUCAAAUCAUUAAAAUGUAAAUAAAAAAUAUGGAUGUACUUCAAAUGCUUAAAUUUGAAAUGCAUGUAAGCAUUUGAAAUGCAUGUACAGAGUUAUAACAUGAUUGCUCAAAAUACUCUAUAUGUUUGAUUUACACAGUAAAAGAAGAUAAUGUCAUGACUUCCAUAUUAUGACAACCUCAAUAUAUCUGGUUUGAGAGUUACAAUACUUAACUUUAAAAUAGACAACAUACACUAUAAUAUACUUUCAAAUUGAACAUGUUCAGGUAACCAUAAAAUAUAACAAAUACUUUGUAUGUUAAUAAAAAAUGUUAAUAAAUUUUAUAACAAAUACUUUCAAAUUGAACAUGCUUAAUCUUAAUCCUGAGUGUAGUAUGAACUUCUGCUUGCGAGAGAUUGUCUUUUGAUUUGUACGGGUGAGAGUGGCCAGAUUGUCAACUCAAUAAGUUUAUCAUUUUGGGGACAAGACCGAGUGGGGAGCUAAAAACAUAAUUACACAAGAUGAAAUUCACUACUUCUCUACUUUAGGAUAAUUAAAUGAGUGUUCUCUUAAAUGAUGUGUCCAAGUCUUGAACAAAUGACCCUACCAUCUUUAUGACACGAGAGAGUUACUGUUUAUUGGUAGGACCAUAAAAAAGUUAUUCAUUGGAGGAGCACUGGUAUUUAAGGAUUACAGGUAACCUAGAGGUAAAAUCGUAAAUUGACCCAGCUGGUGUUACUAACACUCGUGAAGGACUAACUUCAUGUGAUGUAAUCCACUCCAUUUCAGUGUUGGAAUUGAAAGGUGGGAAACAUUUUGAACCUUAUUUAGCAAGGUUUUGCUGUUCUAUAUGGGUUUCUUUGGUGGUGUUGCUCCACGUCACUUUUGAGGUCAAUUUUGAUGCUAUAAUUUGUGUCAUCAUUACUAAUGGUUUCGAGACAGUUUGUUGACAAAGGACAACUUGGGUAAACCAUUUAGGAACUCUUUUAAGAAUGAAUUUACAACUUUGAUUAAGGGGUCUGAAGGUUGAAAUUUGUUUUGGGUCCAUAUUUUGGAAUUUCAAAAGGGUUCGGUAUGCCAAAGGAAAGGAUAUCUGGAUAUAAAUUGAGUUUCAACCUCCUAGAAUGCCUUUGAGACAGGCAAAAUGUAAUUAAACUUUUAUGCAACGCUAAGAAACUUCAUGUGAUGGUAUGUCUGGUUUACGACUGAGAAUUUAUAAGAACGUGCUAUAAAGUUAUAAGUUACUGUGAUACGAUUAUAUAAUGUGAGACCCCUUAUUGCACGUUGCAUAUAAGUUAGUGGCAACUACCCUCUCCUACAUAUGGCUAUGUACACACUAGAUUUGUGUACUUUCAGGUCAACUAGAUUUGUAUGCCUAAUGGCCAACUAGUUUUGGUUUAAAAUUUGCAUGCAUAGCAGUAAUGACCCUAGUUAGGGACCUAAAAAGAUCGGGUUGUUACAUGAAAGAUCUUCAGUUCAUAAUUGUAUUGAUAUCUCUAACUUGCAAAGAAGGUGAUAUUAAACUAGGUGUGUAAUUUAAUGUUAUGAUGGCUCCUUCGAAUUUUGUAGUUUGUCUUUCUUUUUUUCUAUCUACACUUGAUUAUAUCUUCUAGUGGGCUCAUUGUUGAAGAGUAGACAAUAUGCUUAAAAUGAUAUUUUGCUUUGGAAAUAUUAUGGAAAGUGUACCCUUAGUUCUCCCUUCUCUUGAAAGAUACUGCCAAGUUGCAUCAACGUGGUUUAGAUAAACCCACAGAAUCAUCACUUGGAUUUAGCAGCUUCAUCAUUUCCCUCUAUGGUUGCGAUUAAAGUUGAAGAAAGGGAGAUGCAUCGUGCUUGCAAAACUUAUGGAGAAAAGGUCAUCCAAAAGUAAUUUUUUUAACUGAUGAAAUGAUCGUGAUGAUGAACUAUCCUGUUACAGUUGAACACUAUUGUUUUUGGUUUUACACAAGUAUUAUGGUUUUGAUGGUAAUUGAAGAGAGUUUCUCGAUAUUGACAUAAAUUAAACUUUCAACAGUUUAUCUUUUUGUAAUUUUUGCUUUCCCCCGGAAACCUGUUACUUUUCCUAUGUUAUUCUGUGGACGAUCAUCCCUUUUUUAGUUCCACCUACGUUCACUUGCAUUUAUUUACCUUCACUGUUUGAACCAUCCCACAUCCCACAUCAUGAUAUAUAAAUUAAAGAAGAAUUUUAAAUAAUGAAACAAUAUUUACACUAAACAAUUAACAUCUUUAAUUUGAACAUGAAUUUUAAUUAAUUAGUUUUGAUGCCAAUUGAGUGUAAUGAGAAUGAUUAAAAUCCACCGUUUAAGAGGUUGUUAGAUAAAUAUCUUGAUGUGUCAUCUUUGCGUUUGGUGCAAAUAUAAUAACUAUAUAUCUAUUUGCGUUCAAUUGCUCAUAUUAUAUUAGCUUAACCUAAAGUUGAUGGCUUACAACAUGAAGCCAAAUGUGACAAAUGAAAACUAGAAUCCUAAGUGAUCGGGGGAAAAGAUCAUAGUUUUGUUAAUUGCGUAUAAUUAAUGGUUUUAAUUCGGCAAAAGGUUAUUUAAGGAUAAGGUCAACUAGAAUUCUACAAUUUCAGAGGAUGCAACUCAUAUCGAAAAACUUUUGUUAGUCGUUUUUCUACGUUUAGAAUUGAUCGACAAGCUUGAACACAAAUAUAGAUAGGAAAAAACUCUCACCUUAUCACUAUGUAUUCUAUAUAAAUAAACACAUGGAUUCAUGAAACAAAUAAAUCAAAGCCAUAAGUUGUGGGAUCAAAGAUGUUUAAGCUUCAAUGGCUUGUUGCAACUCUAGCUUGCUUGGCUUUUUGCCUAGGAGAUAAUGUUUCAUAUGAUUCAAAUGCGAUAAUUAUCAACGGAGAACGAUGUAUUAUCUCUCAGGCUCAAUCCAUUAUCCACGCAGCACUGAAGCAAUGUGGCCUGAUCUUAUUCAAAAAGCUAAAGACGGCGGACUUGAUGCAAUUGAGACAUACAUUUUUUGGGAUCGUCACGAGCCACAACGACGAAAAUAUGAUUUCUCUGGACGUUUAUAUUUCAUUAAAUUCUUCCAGCUUAUCCAAGACGCUGGACUUUAUGUUGUCAUGAGGAUUGGUCCUUACGUGUGUGCCGAGUGGAACUACGGAGGCUUUCCAGUGUGGUUGCACAAUAUGCCAAGAAUCCAACUACGAACUAACAAUCAAGUCUACAAGAAUGAAAUGCAAACCUUCACGACAAAGAUAGUGAAUAUGUGCAAACAAGCCAAUCUCUUUGCUUCCCAAGGAGGGCCAAUAAUAUUAGCUCAAAUCGAGAAUGAGUAUGGAAAUGUGAUGACACCAGCUUAUGGAGAUGCAGGAAAAGCAUACUCAUCAAGUGGGGUGUUGUAAUCGUAAGAUGUAGUGAUGAAUGGACCUUCCAAUGUUCUUCCAAAGUUGGUGCCAUAAGCUGGUGUCAUCACAUUUCCAUACUCAUUCUGGACGGCGGCAGAUCUGGACGACUGCCGCAAGGUGACGCGUACGGCUGCUUCGCGAACUGGCCGACGGUUGCAGCGACGUUCGGCUGGGUUUGGACGGAACGGAGAGGAGAAGAGAAGAUGGAGACGGCCGGCGGCGGUUGCUGCGCGAACGGAGAGAAGGGGAAGGAAACGGUGGGGGUUGCGGCGCACGGGAGGAGAAGAGAAGAGAAAAAAAGAAAAAAAGAAAAAAGAAAAAAAAGAUAUAUAUAUAAUAAAGAAAUUUUCUUUUUCUUUUCUUUUUAUUUAAAUUAAUAUAAAAAAAAAUAUAUAUAAAAUAUAUAAAAAUUAAAAAAUAUAUAUUUUUACCUCUGGGGCUUUACAACCUCAAUCAUGCCGUUAAUAGAAACAUCAUAAAAAUCAUACAAAAACAUUAAAACAUGUCUGCUAUCUUUAUCUUUCAUAAAGCUCAAGUUUACUUAGAUUGUUCGUGAAAAGUUGUAGUUCUUAAAACAAAACUUGGUAACUCAUGCUUUAUUUGAAACACAAUGGUUCAAAUACUUUCCAGAUCUUCGUUAAUCACGUGCUAGCAUAAAUCUUCAUUAAGAAAUCUAGUCUCGAAACUCAGAGUUGAAAAUAAUAUGGAAUUCAAAUGAUUUUCAAAGCUUGCAAAUAAACGUGUAGAUCAGUCAAUCAUACUUAAUAAUUAGGAGAAAAUAAAAAAUAUAUAUAUUUUGAAAACUGGUUUUUGUCACUCACAGUCUAAAACUAGUUUUCCGAUGUGUAAAUCCGACCUAUUUCCUCUUGGCCUGUCAAACAACCAGAACCGAGUAUUAAAAACCUAAAUAUUAUGAUCUUCAAAUAUUAUGCUUGACGUAGCUCACUAAGGAUAUUGCUAAAGAAGUCUAUCCUUAAAAAAAAUAAUCCAUACUCUACACAUUUCUCAUAAUUUUCCAGAUUUGCAGCACACAAUUCAAAUGUUCAUAACUCUUCCACUACUUAACCAAAAUUAGAUUUCUUUACGUCCAAAUCUUCAUUUUGAGGUUCUCUAAAACUUAUCCCUUCAAUUUAACUUAUUUUUAGUCGUUUUUGGUUCAUGGUUUCUUUAGAAAAGUUGUAGUAAAUUGAACAAUAUUUCCAACCAUACCAAAUAGAGAUCCUAACUCCAUCGGUACACACUGAAAUACCAAAUAAACCAGAGACUUCCUGAUUUCGCGUGAAAAACACCUAUCCUGUUUUCUUUGUCAAAAUUCACCCAAUGAACAUCAAAAUUUGCCCAAGCUUUCUUCAUAAAGUUUAUUUGAAAAUGAAUUAGAUUUCAGUAAAUUUAAACCUCACCUCUUAAUUCUGUUUGUGUAGCUCGAAUUCAAUAAAAAACCAGAGAUGUGCUUAGUAAACUAUAGAGAAAUUGAUCUUGCAAACUCCUUUGUGUUCUUCAACCAACACGUUUUGAGUUUCUUCUUCCUCUCACAGCCUUCUUCCCUUGGAAGUUUCUCUCAAAUUUGGUGCAAAAUGAUGAAGAAAAUGGAGAAGAAAGGAAUUGAAAUAACAUGGGGUGGAUGGGUUUAUGACAUUAGAAAGUUGCAUUCACAUUAGAAAGUGUUAUAACAUUAUAAAGUUGCAUUCACAUUAGAAAGUUGCACCGAACGCAAUUCUUCCUUCCUUCUUUCUUUUCUUUUCUUUUGUCUUUACUUUACUUAAUGAAAACCAAUAAAUAUAUUAUUAUUGUUAUUAUUGUUAUUUUUAUUGUUAUUCUUGUUUUUAUUAUUGUGGUUAUUGUUAUUAUUAUUGUUAUUAUUAUUGUUAUUGUGGUUGUUAUUGUUGUUGUUACGGUUGUUGUUAUUAUUAUUAUUAUUAUUUAUAUAUAAUUUCUAUUUUUCUUUUAUUCCUCUUACAUAUAUUAAAUAAAAUAAAAUUGACAAAGAAAAUAUCAUGUUUACACAAGAGACCUAACCUUCCAAACAGACCCAAAAAAUAACACAUCCUAAAGAUAGCUAUAAAACUCCACAACUCGGGGACAAGCACAAAACAAAACAACUCGUGGACAGAAUAAAAAUUAAAAGUCUAGAAAACAAUAAGAGAAGAAAAAUAAGCUAAACCAAAGAAAAUAACAAAGACAAAUAAAACCUCAUAGCCUGGGGACAAGCAAAAAAUAAAAGUACACUAAAUAAAAUCAUGAACAUCUUCCGACCAAGAAGCAGUACAAGCCCUAAUGCACAACCGAAUGAGCUGGAAAAUAAUCAUAGCCUCAUGAACCUGACCUCCAUGAAGACGAUGAUUCUGCUCUGGCCAAAUAAAGUAAACCGUAGCACACCAGAGAAUACGCCACAACUUUUUCCUCACCCCCUUCCCUAUGUCCUGAUGGCAAAUCUAAGAUAACUCAACCCCCAAUACUAAAGGGUAGAGAAGUUACAGAAAUUUUGUUAUUCAAAAUGAUCCAAAAUACUUAUUCUAAAAAAAGUAAAUGCUUAGAAACAGCCUAAAAAAUAAAAUCUUCAAAUUGGAAUACUAAAACGAUCACAUAAAAUAAAAAAAAAUAUAUGAGUCUAUAGUAUCAAAUGUAUCAUUAUAACCACAAAAAUUUCUCAUCCAAGCAUUCAGAGUACUUCCAGACAAAAAUUAAACACUAAAACAAACUACAUUUGGAAGAUAUAGCGUAUGAUAACUCAAAAACAAAAAAUGAAAUUUCUCAAUAACGUAAGAAGAGAGUAAUCUAGAAAAACCCACUACUUGAACGAGCUAUGAAAAACCACAUGUUCUUCGAACCUUUCCAAUGUUGGUUUUACAACAAAGGAUCUGUAAAAUCUCACGCAUUCUUCUUGAAGAAAGCAAAGAUAAAUACUUUGUAAGAUAUAUUGCCAAGAGGGAGAGAAAAUUAUAUGAAACUUCUUACCUUUAUUCAAUUUGAUUGACUAAUAUUUAUAGUCUAAAAGGAAGCAAAAAAUUAGUAACCCACUAACUUAGUGCUUGCUAAAACUUUGGACAUGAUUAUAAAACAAAUAACCAAAAACAAUAAAUAGAAAAAUAACUUAAUUCUUCCACCUAUUUAGGAAGAUCAUGGCAAAUUAAUAGCCCACACUACCCCCCUAAUUCUAACAUGAUUCUAAGUUACGAACACCAAGUAGUUGACGCAUAGCAGCUAACUUUACUCCCGUCAAUGCUUUAGUCAGAACAUCGGCUCGUUGUUCUCCAGUGUUGACAAAUUCAACGAUAAUUUAUCCAUUCUCGACACACUCUCGAAUGAAAUGAAAACGUGUAUCUAUGUGCUUGUUGCGACCAUGAAAUACGGGAUUCUUCAUGAGAGCUAUUGCGGAUUUGUUAUCCACAAAUAAUGUUACCGGCCUGGGCUCCAUUCCGACUAUCUCGCUAACAAGGCAUCUUAACCACAAUGCUUGGCAAGCUGCGGUAGUAGCUGCAAUGAACUCGGCUUCGCAAGAUGAUAGUGCCACGGUCUUUUGCUUUUGCGAAUUCCAUGAAACCAAGCUUUCAUUUAAGUAGAAUGUUAUUCCACUUGUGCUUUUCCUCCCGUCGAGAUCACCGGCUAAAUCACUGUCAGAGUAACCGAAUAUAUUGAAUUCUCUGGGACCUUUCGUAUAAGUGAGCCCAAAAUGAAUUGUCCCUCUCAAAUACCUAAGUAUUUGCUUGACCACCUUGUAAUGCAUGGUUGUAGGCCUUUCCAUAUACCUACUCGCCAUCCCAACAACAUAUGAAAGAUCUGGCCUUGUGUUCAGUAAGUAUCUAAGACAACCAAUGAUGCUUCUGUACUCCGUAGCAUCAAUUGGUGCUCCUUCCGUGUCUUUAUGAAGUUGUGUCUGGGGUUCCAUCGGGUACUUUGUGGCAUUGCAAUCAGCCAUUCCAAACUGGGACAAAAUUCUUUUGGCAUAAGUUGGUUGUUUGAGCAGGAUUCGACCCUUCUUUUGUUCAACUUCAAUUCCUAAGUAGUAAGAGAGAAGGCCUAAGUCGCUCUCAAAUUUUGUCAUCAUUUGUUGCUUGAACUUAAUGACCUUUUCAGUGCUACUUCCUGUUACAAUGAGAUCGUCAACAUACACUCCAACAAGAACACAUUCCUCUUCUUCUCUUCUUGUGUAGACUGCUUGCUCUUGAGUGCAUUUUCUAAAACCAAGACCUUUGAGACUCCUAUCAAGUCGAAUGUUCCAAGCUCGUGGAGCUUGCCUCAAUCCGUGAGAGCCUUUGACAAUCUAUACACCUUGUGUUUUUCAUUUGGAACCUCAAAACCCUCCGGUUGAGUAACAUAUACUUCCUCUUCCAAUUCUCCAUUGAGAAAUGCCGACUUCACAUCUAGAUGGUGUACCUCCCAACUUUGGUUUGCAGUGAGUGCAAGAAUGACUCGAAUGGUGUCAAGUCUUGCAACCGGUGCAAAAACUUCUUCAAAGUUAAUGCCUUGUCUUUGUACAUAGCCUUUAGCAACCAAUCUUGCUUUUGUUGGCUUUUUGGCCCUUAAUCUCAAAUUUAUUUAUUUUAAUUAUUAAAUUAAUUUAUGUUUUGAUGAUAACAAAUCUGAUUUUUUUAUUGAUAAUUUUAUUGAUUUGAAUAGACCAUAUCGUAGAGCUUAGAAAAAUGAUUCUAACGCCUCUUGAAUCACCCAAAUCGAAGUUCAAAUGAAGAAAAUAUUGCUAAAAGAAGGUUAACGGAAAAAUACCCGAGAUGGUGACGUGGCGACCAAGCAUUCAAUUUGAACCAAUUAGAGAAAGCCACUUGGAGCAAUGGAGUAACAAAUGUGGUUUUUUUGUUAUGUUUUAUUGGCUUUUAUAAAGAAAAUGAAUUUAAAAAGAAAAUGAUUUUAAUAUUAUUAUUUUUCUUUGUGUCUAACGGCUAGUUUUUUUAAAAGAUGGUGAAGUUGCUUUAUUGAUUUCUUUUUAAACAAAGUAUUUUGAAAACACAUAUUAUUAUAUUAUUAUUUGUAUUGUGUGUAACGGCUAAUUAAGUUUAAAUCUCAACCAUUCAUUUUUCUUUUACUUAUAUAUAAUGACCCAAAUGAUUUUGAAUUUAUCUUUCCUCUCUUUUUAAAUACUUCACAUUUACACAAGAUCAUUAAAUCUUUACAAUCCUCAAAAAGUGCAAAAAGCCAACAUUGUUAUUCUCUCUAAAGCUUCCAAUUUUUAUUCUUUUCAUCUUAUUCUUGAGAGCUUCUUAUUAUAUUGUGAGGAUUAAAUUUGUGAGCUUCAAAUUGUAUACUCACUCUUUUAGAGAGUUUUUCUUUUGCGUGAUUUAAAAACUUCAACAUAUUGUAACGGUUGGAUGCUAACCCGUGGAAAGGAUCAGGUUUGCUCUUGAACCCGAAAAAGGAGCAAGAAUCGGUUCGGCUCAAAUCCGUGGAAAGAGUCCAAAGAAGAUUUUCAAUCAAAAUCCCAAGAGGUGCUUGGGAAAGUGGAUGUAGGUUGAGUUUAACUGAACCACUAUAAAAUUACGGUGUCUUCUUCUCUAACUCUUUUCUAAUUAUUUUUUAAUUUAAUUUUAGUUACAUAUUCUUAUUGGUUGAGUUUGAUUGCAUACUUCCAUUCAUAUCUUUUUAUCAAUCUUGUUAUUUAACAAAGUUUACAAAGUUCUUUAUUUAAAUUUUAAAAAAUAUCUAAUUAGUUGAUUUUACUUUUUAUUUGUCAAAAAGUUUAUUUAAACCCUAUUCACCCCCCUCUAGGGUUGCCAUACCGAUCCAACAGCUUUGUGCUUGACAACUUCUCCAUUAGGGUCUUUCUUCAAUUUGAACACCCAUUUUAAACCAAUGGGUUUGUGUCCUAGUGGAAGCUCGGUCAUACUCCAUGUGUUGUUUUUCUCAAUGGAUUUUAAUUCAUUCUCCAUUGCUUCGUACCAGCGACCCUUUGUAACAGCUUCUUGGUAACAAGUCGGUUCUUCGGACACUACCAUCAUCACCUCAUUCUCUUGUUCAUCACCACCUACAACUUCCUCUGUGUUGGCGUAGAUGUCACUGAGAGAUCUUAGACGGACCGGUGUGUUCGUCGAUGGAGGAGAUGGACUGGUCUCUCCAACCGCAGGUAUCUCAGUUGCAUGUGGUAAGGCAUUUUCAACCUCAGUUUCUGCAUCCUCCAAGUUUUCGAACUCGUCAGAAUAAAAUUGGUCCAUUACCUGAAACUCUGUAAUCUCCUUACCGUCACUAACAACUUCGUUCCAAGCCCAUUCAAGAUUCUCUUGAAAAAGAACAUCUCUACUAAUUUGUAGUUUUCCACGGCGUGGGUCAUAUAAGCGAUGAGCUUUGCAUCCUUCUUCGACACCAAAAUAUACCAUUGGUGAGCUUCGAUCGUCGAGUUUCUUGAGGUGAGGGGUUGUUUUCUUUACAUAUGCCACACAACCAAAGACUCUCAAGUGUGCAAGAUGUGGCUUUCUACCCAUCCAAGCUUCAAAUGGUGUGCAUUCUCCAAGGGCCUUCGUUGGAAGACGGUUUAACAAAUAAACUGCGUGUCUCACUGCCUCUCCCCAAAAUUUUGCAGGCACAUGCAUGCUUUUGAGGAGUGAUCUCGUAAUCUCCAUUACGGUGGGGUUACGACGCUCUACAAUGCCAUUUUGUUGUGGUGAAUAUGGAGCGGUGAGGUGUUGUUCGAUUCCUUCUUUUUUGCAAAAUUGAGUGAACUUUGUAGAUAAGAACUCACCACCUCAAUCCGUCCGGAGCGUUCUGAUCUUGUACUCCGUCUUGUUCUCCAUUAAGAGUUUGAAUUUCUUGAAUGCUUCAAAUGCGUCACUUUUUGCCUCCAACAUAUACAGCCACAUCCAUCUCGUGGAAUCGUCAACUAUCAACAAAAAAUACUUGUCUCCAACAAGAGUACAUGGUGAAAUCGGUCUGCAUAUAUCAGCAUGGAGGAGUUCUAAUGGCUUCUUUGCUCUAUAUGUUGAUUGACGGGGGAAGGACAAUCUGACUUGUUUGGUAAUCACGCACGCUUCACAUAACUUGUUCGGUUGAGUCACUAGUGGUACUCCAACUCACGUGCCAUAACCAUGUUGGAUCUUCUAGGCUUGUCAGAAGGCAGACUUGCUUGAGUGUCUUCAAAGUUAUCUUGUACAAACGAUUUUGAGUUCCCUUCACCGACAUCAAAAGCUUCCCACUCCUAUCAGACACUUUCAUGAUAUCUUCUAUCAUUUGCACCUUGUUUCCAUUUUCUGUCAUUUGUCCGAGGCUUAUGAUGUUACUACAUAAUUUUGGAAUGUAAUACACCUCUUGGAGAGCCUUCUGAUCACCGUUCUUGCACUCGAACAUGACUGUUCCUUUUUCCAUGAUCUGAAUGGUUGGUCCAUCGCCAAACUUCACCUUCCCAGUGAAGCUUUCAUCUAAUUCUUGGAACUUCUCACGAUGACCAAUCAUGUGGUUACUAGCACCGUUGUCUAGAUACCAAACAUCAUUAUUUUCUCCAUUCUUGUCGUUGCAAUACAUCUCUGGCAACAACCGCUCUUUGUUGAGUAGUAUGGCAUCCUCCUGAUCACAUCUAGUGCGUGUCCCCUCCUGGGACAUGGCCAUCAUCAAAGUCGGUUCUUCUUCGACGACACAAGUUAGAUGAGAUUCCUCGUCAUGACCUUUUCCACGAUAUUCCAACGCGUAAUGUCCCAUCUUGUUGCAAGUGAAACACUUAAUGUGACUUUUAUCACGAGUGCCAUUUCCAGUGUUGCUAGUGCCUCCCGCACUAUUUUGACGCUCAGUGCCACGACCACGUCCUCGCCAUCUUCCUCGAUCGAUACCACUAAAUCUGCGCCCUUUGUUCAUCGAAGAGUUGUCACCACUAUGUCCUUUUUGUCUAGCUUUCCAUUCGGCAUGGGUAAGUAGGAGUUGUCCAUCGGUGUUGUUAUUGUUUUCUCGGAAUCGUGUUGUUCGUUCCUCGUAUGCCUUCAUCCGUCCAAUUGCUUCUUCAAACGGCAUGGUUUCGAGAUCUUGGAAUUGCUUGAUUCCGACGACAAUGGGAAGAUAUUUGUCGGGGACGGAAUCUAGGAGCUUAUUGACCAAUGAUGAAUCCUCAAGUGCAACUCUGAGGGUGGUGAACUUGCUUGCUAAUCCGCUGAUUUUUCCUACGAACUCAUCGAUCGUCUCAAUUUCCUUCAUCCGAAGAACAUUAAACUCACUCUUCAAGGUUUGAACUCUCGCCAUCUUCACCCGCUCACUGCCCAAGUACCUUGUCUUGAGACUAUCCCAUAUUUCCUUUGCGGUCUUCUUCUUAGCGAUUUGUAGAAGCACAUCUUCCGGGAUGCAUUGGAGAAUGUAUGCACGUGCCUUCUUGUCUUUCUUCACAUCCACUUCGGCUCCUCUCGCUGGCUCUAUUGCUUCCCAAACUCCUUGGGCAUUGAGGAUUGCUUCUGCCUUUAUCGUCCACACCGUGUAGUUGUGUGGAGUUAACAUCGGGUAGAGAAUCGACAUUCCACCAUUCUCCUUUGUUUGUUAUGAGGUGCUUGCCAUCUUCGUUGGAAUAUGCGAUGAGAAGACAACCUGCUCUGAUACAAAAUGUUGGUUUUACAACAAAGGAUCUGUAAAAUCUCACGCACUCUUCUUGAAGAAAGCAAAGAUAAAUACUUUGUAAGAUAUAUUGCCAAGAGGGAGAGAAAAUUAUAUGGAACUUCUUACCUUUAUUCAAUUUGAUUGACUAAUAUUUAUAGUCAAAAAGGAAGCAAAAAAUUAGUAACCCACUAACUUAGUGCUUGCUAAAACUUUGGACAUGAUUAUAAAACAAAUAACCAAACACAAUAAAUAGAAAAAUAACUUAAUUCUUCCACCUAUUUAGGAAGAUCAUGACAAAUUAAUAGCCCACAUCCAAGAUCACAAGUCAAGAGAAAAAGAAGGCCACUAAGAUUCAGCAUAUAUUGAUAACAUAUAAACAUAGUAAAUAGUUUAUGAUUAUUUCAGAAUUUCAAAAUAUUGAUAACAAUAAACGAACCUGGUGAUUGACUGAACAGUAAGCAACAACUCUGCAGCGACCACACCAUCGGGUGGCCGAACCAAUGCAACGAGUUCCACGUCCCUUGCCAAUGCACUCCCUUUUUUUUAUUAUUGAAGAGUUAACUCAGUACGAAUCAGAGCAAGACAGCAGUCGGAAUCGUUAAGGAUGUCAUGAACAAGGAAGCAUGAUGAAUGGAGCACGACGAACGGAGCAUGACGAAUGAAGCACGACGAACAGAGCGUGACGCAUGGCGAACGGAGUAUAUCGAUCAAGAAGUGUUGUUUUUAAACUGAUUAGGCAGUGAUUUCAAACCGAGUACAAAUGAAGUUCUUCCCCAACGGCUAUUUCGAAUGGAGCAUAGCAAAUGACGUUUUGUUUUCAAAGGAGAGUCGUGAAGGAUAUGAAACGACAAUUUCAUUUUCGAAGGAGAGGUGUGAAGAAGCAUUUUGUUUUGCUAGUGCUUGUCUAACUACAAUCCACGCGCGUGUUUCUUUUUUUUUUUCAAUUAUUUAAUAAACUUGAAGUUUUUAAAUGUCAAGAAAUUCGGAAAAUUACCUCUCUUUCGGAUUUACAUAAAAAUUCUUGACGUUUUAAAACAUCAAGAAUUUAAUAGAUUUUUUUUGGCAUUUUUAAAACGUCGAGAACAAAUAUUUAUCUCUUGACGUUUUUAAAACGUGUCAAGAACAAAUAUUUAUCGUUUGACGUUUAAAAAACGUCAAGAAUGUCAAAUUUAUAAAAAUUCUUAACGUUUUAAAAAUAUCAAGAAUUUAAUAGAUAUUACUUGAAGUUUUUAAAACGUCAAGAAAAAAUAAAUAUUACUUAACAUUUAAAAAACGUCAAGAAAGUUGAAAAAUUGUCUACAUCCACCUUUUCAUAAAAAUUUUGAUGUUUUUUUUAUUUAAAGUAACCUAUUUCUUGACGUUUCUUUAAAAAAAAAAAGCCCUUUUUUUUUGUAGUAAUGUGUUUUUUUUUAAAGAAAUUGGAUAUCUAUUUUUUGAAAGAAACGUCAAGUAAUUAAAACUACAAACCUCAAGAAAGCCCUUUUUUGUAGUAAUGUGUUAGGUAGCUUCUAAACGCUUGUUAAUUUGGAAGUGUUAUAUAGAUUUUUUAGUUUAAACUUAGAUACAGUGAAAGUUUGGAUAUUGAAUACUUGUGAGGUGUGGCUUAUUGAUGGAGUAAAUUUAGCAUUUGAGAGGGGGAAUAUAAGACUAAUUAUAUGUAUUUAUAUUCUAGGUCUUUAAUGAUGGACAAUGGUUAAUGAAACUUAGGAAUAAGUUCUCAAUUAAGUAUAAAUAGGGAGUUUUCCAAUUUUUAGAAGUUGCAAAGUAUCACGUCGAUGAGUACGGACGGACAAUGUGUCAAUGCAAUAAAUGUAUAAACUCAAAUAGGACUCGUUAGACGGUGUGAAGAGACAUUUAUUAACGACUGGGAUAUGUCCCUCCUACACAGAUUGGGUGUAUCAUGGAAAACCAUUGAACUUCUAUAUAAGUAUAGAUAGAUUUGAUUAAGGAAAUAGCAGUGACCCUUUCCAUGAAUGAACUAGCAUUGACCCCUUCCAUGAAGGAACUAGUAGCAACUUAUUUCCUUAAGAUAUAAUGCAAUAUUGGGCAUGCAUGCUACAUGAUUUACAAGCUUUGAUUGAACACGAAGAAGAAACGGCUAAGGAAGGUUUGGACAAUGAAAUGUCGUUUAAUAGUGGUGUAGAAGAGGAGACGGAGCAUAUAUUUCAAGAGUUAUUAAACCAAGCACGUCAUGAGCUAUACCGGCUAUUCAGAAUUUUCAUCUCCUGAAUUUGUUUAGAUGCUUUUAGAGUAAAGUUGUUCGUGUGUUUUGGGACGCAUAUCUCAUUUUUUCAUGAAAGAUGAGAUUUUAUGGAUUACUAGUUUAGAGAUUAGUGUUAUGAUUACUUUUGUUGUUUAUGAUAUUGUCAAUGACAAGUAUAGGACAAUACAAGGUAAAUUAUUACUGAUAUAUUCUCAAAUUUAGCUACAGUAGUUGACACACACAUAUAUUUUGGAUGCAGAUAUGGUAAAGUUAAAAGGGCUUCAUGCAAGGAAGAAAGAGUGGGGUUGUAACAAAGUUAAUUUCACUUCCAUUUCUAUUUACCUUGAAUUGUUGUGUAUUUGGAGUUGACAUUUUUGUGAUGGACUCUAAUAAUUAAUAAUAAAGAUAUGGGAAUUAGAAAGGGGAUAUUUUUUUGGUUGAUCAACCAACCAACAAGUUAUCAUUCAUGCAAAUUCCCCAACUUUUCAAACCUUAUAAAUAAGGAUCCUUAUGAACCUAAUUCUUUUUCUGUGGAGAAUUACAAUUGGUAUGUAACUAAAAUGCGUGUGAUAUUAUUAUUAUUAUGGAAGUUCUGAAGAGAGAUAUGGGUAUGAUAAUAAUAAUCCAUGGUGCUCAAGACUUCAAGAGUUCAUCUACAUACACUUUCUUUCUUUAUAAUGAUACUCUCAUCGUUGAAGUCAAAAUUAAUAAAAUUUCCAGACCUUGAAAACACUACUCUUAAUUUACAAGGAUAUAUGGAAUUAAUAUAUUAAUAAAAUUUCUAUACCUUUUCUUUUUUUUCAUGAAAAAAUAGUUUAAACUAUAUCUCCCACCCCAUUUAUACAUGGCACAUUUUUUAAAAUAACAAAAUAAACUAAAAUACUUGUAAAUUUUGGAUUCUACCUAUCAUACUAUUCUAUCACUAUAGCAUAUGAUUGACUAUCACGCAUCAAAUUUGUUAUAGGUUGUAAAGAUUUUGUAAAAUUUGUUAUUUUUAAAAAUUCCUCUCCUUUAAUCUCGUAUAGAAUUAUUGAAAAAUUAUAAUUUUUUUUGUCAAAUUAUUUUUUUAUACUCGAGGAAUAAAAAAAUCAUAAAGCUUUGAUUUUAUUUUUUUUUACCAUUAAUUUUUUUUUCAAAUUUUUAAGUUUUAAAAGAUAAUUCUAGCUUUCCAAUUUAGUUAAAUUGACCAAGAAACAAAAUGGUAUAUAUAUUUUUUGACAUGGUCGGGAACUGAUAGAAUUAUGUAAAGUAUUUCGUAGAGUGGUCUUGAAGGAUACUUAACUAAACAGCCUUGACAAAAAAAAAAAAAAAAAUUGUAGUUUACCCCCUUGACGAAGCAUGGGUGUCGAACCCAAGAUAGUGUAAGAUAGACACUUUCUUGAAUGUAAUGAUCGAGAAGAAUGACAUUAGUAACAAAAAUAAAAGAAAAGCAUUGAAAAUAACUUUUGGAAAAAUUAUAAGGCAAAAUGAGAAGAGGAAUUUAGUUUGCAAUACAAUUCACGAAAAGGGAUUAAAGAUUGAAUUCCAUGUAGAGAAAUGAGUAAUGGACUUAGGCAUGGAUCUAAUCUUAUCAUUGAAUCAAAGAAAAUAAAGGAAGUUGAAUCUUGCUUAAUUAAGAGGGGAUUUUUUAUUCAAGAUCAAAUUGCUUGAUCUUGGAGGAAUUUUGACUCAAAAUUCAAGAAAUGAGAUGAAUUUCAUGGGGAUUAGUUUAAUUCUUACGAUCUUAACUAAACCCGUAAUUGUUAUUUAAAAAAUAUUACAAGAUCAUUCAUAAUAUUGCAACCAAGGAUGAUUCUGAAAGGUAGAGAAUUUGGAAGAAAUUGGGAAUGAUUUUUGGAAUAACAGUGAAUUGAAUUGAAUUCUAUAUGAAUUUGGGAGAUUAGGGAUAUUUAUAGGGAAAAUUGGGGGAUUACAGCAAAUGGGCCCAAAAUUACACUCUCAAGUCUCGAGAAAUUUAAAAAAAUUGACAAACAAUUAUGAUAAAACAAUUAUGAUAAAACAAUUAUGAUAAGAAUUGAGAAUAGAUUAUCUUUAAACCGAUGAAGAUUUGCCCAACAAUAUAUUAAAAAAAAUUAUUUGAUAUAUAUACAACACUAACUAUGUAUAUAUUAGCAUUAUACUCAAAUAAAGGAACCAUUAAUAAAGGAAAAUAGAUAAAUUUGAUAACCUAAUAAUAAUAAUUUUAAAUAAUAAAAAAAAACCUCAAAAAGAAAAAAAAAAAAAAAGGAGUAUUUUAAACCAUAGAAACACAAAUGUCUUUUAAAACUUUUUCUAAGAAGUAUUUGUAUAUAAGUUUCUUUAGUUUGUUAUUAUUAUAAAAUAUAUUUAAAUUUUAUUAAAAAAAUUCAAGGUUUGAUUAGUGUCGAUAAGUUGGUCACUGGUCGACGGUGGUCAUCGAACUUGGUUGUCGAAAGUUCGUCGAUGGUGGUUGGAGAUUGGCUGGCAACAAUCAUUGGAGGUGGUGUUCGAAAUUGUUCGACGAAAUUCCCAAAACUUUGGGUGGUUGACAAACUUGCCAACUCUUAUACAAAUAAAAUAGGGUUGGGGGUGAAGAAAAUUGAGAUGAGAAUAAGACUGGUAGGAAUAAAUUUGAUAAGUGUAUAUAGUUAUGAUGUAUUAACUAGCAAUAACAAAUUAUGGUAAGAGUUGAGUUGAAGUGAGAUAUGGAGAAAGAAAAAAGAAAAAAGUAAUGAUUUUGGAUGGGUAUAGUUGAUGGAAGAGCAUGUUUAUCUCAUACUCUCUUAUUCCUAUUCACAUCCCAAUUAUUUUAAUCAAAAGGUUUCUUAACGACAUUAGAUUAUUUUAAAUCCUAAUUAUGGUCUCCAUUGUCUGAAACAAAGGUAGAGUUAGAGACUUAAUACUUUUUACUCUCAUUCCAAAAAGCUACAUCUGUUUUAGAAUGUGGAGAUAGGCCAUCAAUUAGGUUUUAUAAAGGAUAUAAUGCCAAACAAAACAAAUUUUAUCCUUGAUAGUUUGCGCAGAGUGAAUCAAUUUAUUUGUUUAUUUAUUUCAUUUUAUCUUAUUUUUUUGCACAAUUAUUGUGAUGCAUUAAAUAUGCACAUAUAGCUUUAGAUGUUAUUUACUUUUAGAACUAUAUUAAUGGGUUAGAUCCUGGUAUAUGACGACUUUCAAUUUUAAUUCUUCAUUGAACCGAAUUAGAUUGUUGCUACAAAUUGUACAAAUAUAAAAUUUAAAAAAAUAAAAAACUCUACUUUUCAACUUUGUUUACGAAUUUCUAUUAUCAAACAACUAACCCAAAAGCCACUCUCAUCUUUGCCGUUCUUCCUCCAAAGGCGUUAAUACCAAGGAAGCACAGCAGAUCAUGUUAACAGUAACAACGAGAAUCUACAGUCCAAUGGAACUUUUGACUCAAAAAAGUGAUCAAAUCAAAACGUCAUCCCUUUAUACAAUUUCUAUGUAAUUUCCACCCUAAACUUCUUGUAGAAUCCUUAAGAAAAGCUUCUCUCCAGUAAUUCUACAACAUUCCAUCCCUCCACAUAAAAAAGAAACUGAAAAUUAAAACUGCAAACUGAAUCACUUCAACAUAGAACCAUUUGAGCUAUUAAAAGAUUUUCUACUUCUAUUGUCCCCUAUGGAAUCAAGUUCACAGCAAAUUUCCAUAGAUAUGAAUCACCUCUAUUCUCUCAUCACAUCAAUUAACGAAAGAAAUCCUGAAAUCAACGGCUUACCAAUUUGCAUCAUAAUGCAGACUGCAUCACCAGCCAACAGCUCUAAGACUGAGAAUAAUGUUGGGACGACAAUUCUUGGCCUUACUUUUCAGGCAGUUUUGGCUUUGUUCAUUACCUCGUCCACUUCAUCUCCUCCGCUUUUGACACAUCUCUUUGGGGCUGCAGUCUUGAUUAGCUUUGCAGUUUCAUUUCCUGGAGUUUUCCUCCAAGAUGGAUUCCCGAGAAUCGCACUUCUGUUCGAAAAGAUCGGUGCUCUUAUUGCUGCAAUUGGUGUGUGCAUCCUAGCAAGUCUUCUAAUCCAUCAGAACUUUGCUUGGAUCUCUUGGCUGGCUUGUGGCUUCUCCUUGAUGGCUUUUUUGCUAUCAUUUAGAGGGUAGUUUCAUCAGAUUAUUGGUUCUUUAGCUUGUUCAGUAAGAUGUUAAUAUCAUCUAAGAAACAAAGAUGGCAGCAUCAAGAAAGAUGGGUCGUCUCUAUGGUUCAUACAAAUAUGGAGGAACCACAUAUUGGCUGAAGCUUAGUCAUCCUAAAAAAAAUACACAGAUUUGGUAAUUGGAAGUGGAAUUGGAAUGCCAAUGCCGCAAUGUUGUUAUAUUGUUAGCAAAUAUAUAUAAGUAUGUUCUUCAUCUAUGUUAAAUGGGGAUAUAAAAUGGAAAAAAUAUGAGAUCAAUCUUUACAAGAACAUUAGCAGGAAAGGAAUUCUCCAGAGCUUAAAAGAAAAGUGUCCAACCUAAACCAUAUUAGAAAGUUAAAACAGAAUUUCACUUUUUCGUCUCUAUUUCUAACUCUUAACCAUUUGAAUGCAAAUAAAUGAGACGAAUAACAAGAAAAGGAGAGAUGUAUAUUGCAAAAUGAUCAAAAGGCCCGUGGGGGAAAAUUUCCCAUCACUGCUGGAGAAAUUAAAAGAAAACAAUCAAACUAGAAACAUAAGCAUUAACUUAAAAAAAACUUCGAACCCGUGAAAAAAUUGUUACCGUCACAUAGAAAUCUCUUCUUGAUCAAUUAAAAUAGCACUCUCUCGAAGCAUUACAUCACUUGCAUAAUUGAGCGUAUAUUACACUUAAAUGCUUCGAAUUGGGAUGAUUAGAAACCAAAGGUAUAGACUCCUUAGACUAAUAGAUGCAAGACAAUUGUACUUUUAAUAUUUUACCAAAACUCAACAAGUUUCCUACGGAACAUGAAUUUUAGAGCUCCAGUAUUUAUUAUUUCCCCAAAGUUAUUAGGAAAUAUUCAAACUGAUAGAGAUAAACAUUGUUCAGAAGAAGGAAAUAGAUUUAGAAAAAAAGAAAAACAAUAAUGGUAACCUUACCUUCAAAUAGAAAUCCCAAUCAUAUAUAUCCUAUGAUGCAAAACAGAUGCAAAACAGCAGAGCAAUUAGAGAACUUUGAAGACUAGAAUGAUGUAGAAUCCAAAUAACAAAUGUUGAGUUUACACUUAUGUAGAGGCUGCCUAAAUAAGCAUGUGAAUAAUAAAUAGGAAAAAGAAGCAUUAUUCAUCCAUGUAAACAUCCACACUCAUUUUAGAAACAGAAAAAAAUCAAAUUUUAAUUACAGGACUAAACGAAAGUCCUAGGAUUGGCACACAAUCUAAAAAGCAAAAUCUAAACUAAUGAUGAUAUUAAGUGAGCUUGAUGAAAGGGAAACAACAAUCAGAGAACUUUAAAGGCUUGCACGAAAUGGGUAAGCACAUCAUAGCUUCACCUCAAAAGGCCUCAUCAUCUCGAAUGGCUAUUUUACAUACUUUACCAAAUAGAAAAGAGUGAGAUCAACUAAGUAAAAUGUUUUCUAAAGAUAGGUUACAAGAGGUCUUUAAAAUCGAAGACAUCGAGGAGACAAAACUUAACCAAAGACCAAACGGCAAACAUCAUCAAUAAGGGCCCUCCCCAACCCACUAAACACCCUGUUAUUUCUGUCUCCCUCAACCCAUGACAAAGUUGCAACUUAAUAGUAGUCUGAAACUGGUUGGAAACCAUUGACAGGCCACUUGAGUGUGUGGCAGCAAUACCACUCUUCUAUCUUAAUGAACAGAUCCAUAGCUUUAUGAAACCAAUAUUAAAAAAAACAAGAAAACAUAAACAAUAAAGAAAUCGACACAAGGAUUUACACAGUACAUUAACAGUGGGUAUUCAAGUGCAGAAGGAGAGAGUAGUAUAUUAAUAGAGAUUCAAGGCCUUCCAACAAAUAGUAUGGAUAUCAAAUUGUAGGAUCCCACAGACCAGAGUGUAACAUAACAACAUCAAAUGGGUUAUAACUUAUAAGCACAAGAAACUAAGAAAGAAAAUGGCAGGGUGCCCUAAGUCAACCUAAAAUUUGACAUCACAAACUAAAAAGUUAGAACAUAAACCAUAAGAAACUCCACAAAUAUGUUAUUAUCACGAGUAAGUCUUGACACAAUUUUGCGAUAAUAGGCAUUAAAAAGUACUUUUUCCAGCACAAGCAAGCCAUUGUUUGUCGGAAGAAUAGAUGAUCCAAUAUGGGAUAUCAAUGACUAGUAACUAAUUCGAACAACUUCUACUUCACCUGCAUAGAAAAGGAUCUAUGACCUAAAUAGUCUUCAUGGGCUCUGAAAUCCAAUGAUUUAGGUACCAAGCGAGCAGUAAAUCAAGGGCAAUCCAUGAUAUAUACUCAUGGGUUUAACUUUUAAGAACUUGGACAGCACGUUCAGGUUACUUGGGUCACAUACAUGGUUACAAAAAUUGAGAUUGUUGGUAUACAAGAUCUUGUGCUGGUGGCUGUUGAUGACAUAUUGCCAUGUCGGCUAUUGUUCUUGUUUGUCUAAGUUGUAUGGCGUCCAACGAUUUAUCUAACGUCAAUAGAUAAAGUUUUUCCUUGUAGGAGAUGAGUUUUCUAGAUUCUAGAGUUUAGGACAUACUCAUUUAACAUUUUUGUCCCUUUUGUUUUGUUUUAUUUUAUUUUAUUAUAAUCGAUCACAAUUUUAAAUAUUGCAAAAUUAUCGUUGAUAGACUUAGAUCAAUCAAUAUUUGCAAUAUGGUCCAUCCGUGAUACACUCCUACCUUUAAUAGAAUUUGACAAAUUUUGUUAUAUUUACAAAUUUUUUUAAAUGUUGCUACAUACUCAAUUAAUUUGAAUCUAAUCGAUAAAUUUGCAACUAUCUCAUAUAAUUAAAUAAAUAUUGACAAUCACAAGUAUCAUUUUUUUUCUUAUAUUACAAUUCUAGUUAUUUUCAACCAGAUAUUCAAAUUUAAGUUUAAGUUAAUAUUCUAGUAAAGUUGAUGUUUUUAAACGGUUGGCAUAAAUGGUGUAUGUAUAAAUUUAAUAAUGGGUUCAAAUUGUUAUCAAUAUGAUAGAAAGACGAUGUUAAUAAAUGAUUAAGAGGUCAUGAAUUUAAUCUUAUAUAACUUAUUUAAAAUUCAAUAUCUUAUCGGUUUUCAUACCUAGAUAUUGUACGAAUUGUUCCAUGAAAUUAAUUAAAAGUACUACUUGCUCAAAUCUCACUUUGUCCCAUAGCUACAUAUAAAGUCUGUGACACAAUACUAUCACGUACAUGAAAGAUUUAUUCACCGCUAUGUUAAAAUUCAUACCUUACCCUACCCCUAAAAUGAUAAAUUGGCUUAUUUUUAGAAAUAAAUAAACUAAUUAAUGAUGUUGAUAACUACGUUAAAGUUUAUUCGUAAUCUAUAUAUUAUGAACUUGCAUAAUAGUAUGUUGUUCAUUUUGAUCGAUCUUUAAGGUUAACACAAUUUUCCAACUCAUACGUUCACUUGUAGGAAUAAGAAAUGGAAUCAAAAGAAAUUUUUGCUUGGAGAAAAUCAAAAUUUUAGAAAAUGAAGAGAAGAACUCCCAACCUAAUAUAGUUUGUUGAGAAACUACCCUUAGAAUCAUCAAACAUUUGCAAUUAUGUUCCAUAUUUGUGGCUUUCCAAUGUAUGAAAAUUAAUUGAAACUCCUCCAUUAACCAUCAAAAAGUUGGAGCGAUAGGUGCGAUUGACAAGGAUGAAUGUCAAAUGAAAAGAAGAAAAACAUACUAAAUAGAAGAAAAUAUUGAGAUGGAAGUACAAAGUCAUCCAUCUAAGUGACAAAUAGGCAUGUUAGAAUUAUUAGACAUAGUUCUUUAUUAUCUCAUGGUAUAUCAUCUUUCUCGCUCCAUUUUGACAAUUGUAUUAUCGGUAGGAGAUAAUAGUUGCUAUCACAUCGGAACAUAAAAUCGUAAAAAGGGUUCGUUUGGUAACUUUUCGUCUCCAAUUUUGUUUCUAUCUAUGCUUUCUUUUAUUUGAAAGUUUGUUUCAUCUUAUGGAUUUGGUCAUUUAUUACAAUUUAUGAUACAUAUCUAGAAAACAAAACUAUAUGAAUAUGGGAUAAAUUAAUAUUAUUUUGAUGUCUUAAAUUUAGGCAAGGGUCUAUUUAUCACUUCAAAAUUUGACUUCACAUUCCGCCUAGGUUGACAGUCAUGAAAUGUCAGAAAAUGAAUAAAGUAAUGUUGUUAGGUGGUAGUUGAGCUAAACUAUUGUUAGCAAGUUUGACAUACUUGAUGACUAAAAAUUAUUCGACAUAUUAUAGCUUUUAACUAUAAUAGUAUAUGUUUUUCGGUUGGCACCAACGCUACUAUAUUGAUGGCCAAAAAGGGAAAAAAAAUCAACCACAAAUAAAUUAUUUAAGGGUCAUGAGUUCAAUCUUCGACGAUCAUCUAUCUAAGAUUUAACAUAUUUUUAGUAUUUUUAUAUUCAAAUACUGUAGGAUUAGAUGAAUACGUCAUUUCUUAAAAUUAUUCAUCAGUGCACAUAACUAAUUUAAUUUCCACACUCACGAAUAAAAAGAAAAGCCUAGCAUUCAUAAACCAUAUUAGUUUACUUUAAUCAUGUUGUUGCAUUUCAAUAGAGCUAAGCGUCGUUGUAAGAAAACAUGCAAACACAUAAGCAUGUUAAUAAACUAGUUGAGUCACGUUUUUCGACUCUACUAGGAUGUGGAACAUAUUUCAUGUGCCACGUCGUCCUUAGGAUAAAAAUAAACCUCUACUUUUUUCAGUAGGAAUUGCACUAGAACUAAUUGGUAUACCAACACUCAAUAGAUAUACUUGUUUGCUUGAAAAACUAAAAGAAAACAGAACUUGCCAAAGUAGGGAGAGAGAGAGAGAUGAGAGAGUUUGAAAUGUUUGUGGUGUGUCAAAUGAGAAGAGAGGUGGGUAUAUAUAUUGCAAACCCUAGUUCUUGAACUCCCUAAAGUUUUAGGUGAUAAUCUUUAUGAGAGGUUAAGUGUUUGUUAUUCUUUGUUAGGUGGGAAGAAGAAAAUAAAUUUAGCUAAGUAUGGAAGAUGUAGUUGAUGGCCAAAAAGGAAAGAAUAAGGCUUGUUGGUUGAGAAUUUAAUAAGUCUUGAGAGGUUAUGCUCAGGGCUUAGUCAUUGUGAGGAUGUCCUAGACGAGAGGGUUGGUGCUUGGCGUGGAGAUUCUAGGCGUUGGGGCUUAAGACCAGACGAGAUAAUUCCAAAGAGGUUAUCUAGGCGAUGGAAACUAGUAAGUGAAAGCUUUGUGUAUUAUCUUUUGACCGUGAGUGCAAGCUUGGUGAGGAGACUUGGGCUACGUAAGGAAGGGCUUACACGCUAGGAAGCUUGCAGCCAAGGAGAUUGUAGGCGAUGGGAUUUGCGAGCAAGCAAGCUCUAGGCAAGAGGAGGAUUUAAGCAUGUUUUAACUGUUUUACUUAUAACAUGGAUUUAAGCAUGUUUCUGUCAUUUCAUUAGCCACUCGCUGGGCUAUUUAACUCACGUUUUUAUAUGUUUUCCAACUUUCAGGUAGAGAUCGUGGAACCGAUACCUGACUCCAUUUUCCAAUCUGCUAGUGGCAUAGUUUUGAGUCCCCUUCAAUAUGUAUUGCUUUGAGUUAGUCUCUUAGGUGGUUUGUAAGCUUGGAGUUUUGAUCAUGGGGUGUUUGAGUUUGUUUAGUUUAACUUUGGUGUUGGCUGUUUGUAUAUAUGUUUAUAUCAGACUCGUGAUGUUUAGUAUUAUGUAAUUUUGGGCUUCACUACAGUAAUGUUAUGUUGUUUAAUGGGUGAAUGUGUGUCUUUAUGCUCCACUGAGUUUCUAUUUUAAGUUAGAGAUAAGUUUAUGAUCGAUUGGUGUAGUUGAGGUAAGUUGUGAUAUCUGUUGACUAGUUGCAUCAUCUCUUAGGCUAAGAGUUUGUGGCUUGGAAGGGGGUGUGACAUAUAUAGUGGAUGGGGAAGGCUACCAACGGUCUGGUAAUAAUGAGAGUAACUGUUCGAUAUUAAGACGGUCAAAGAAAACGGUCCAACAAUCUAAUGAAAUUAAUAUAAAAUUUCAAAAUAAAUUUAUAGCAGAAAAAAAUUAUUUUAUUCACUCGAAUGGAAGGUGGUGACACGUGGAGAUGUUUGGAAAUCCACUUUUGCCUAUCUCCUCACAUCUUCCAAAAUCUAGGUUAUUAGGGACGUGAGAAAACCUAAUUUAAAUAAAAUAAUAUUUGAAUUUUUGCUUUCUAAAAUUUUUGAUUAAGAAAACCAAAGUGAAAAGAAGUAAUUUGAACAUAACCAAUUGAGUAAAAUCUGCCCCAUCACAAUUCAUAAUACACUAAAUACAGCACAAUAUCACACCUUUCUGCUGUGACAGAUCAAAUUCUACCCUCUUCUGAUAGACACAACAUUGUUACAUUGAGAUUGGUCCAAUACCAAUCAAAAUCCACACCGUACCUUUAGAAAAAAAAGAAAAAAAAAAGACCAUACCCUACCAUACUUGUUAACGAUAAUUUUAAUCUCUCAAAAAUAAAAUAAAAAUGGAAAAGAAGAGACUGAGAUGAUACUUUUUUGAGAAGUGGAUCCAAAUGAAUAUUAUGAUCAGCCUAAAAAAAGAACAAAUAAAAGUUAAAAAUAACGAGACCAAAAUAAUCUAAUAUUUAAAAGAAAGAAUGAAAUUUAAUUUUAUAAACUUAUUUUUUAGUCUAAUGAUUACGUGGUAGAAAUGAAGAAUGAAAUUUAGAGUUUACAGUUGGUUUAAUGUGAGGUUAUUUGACAAUAGUAACCAAAUAUUGAGUUAGGGUGAAAUUGAAUUGAGUAUAUGGUUGAAGAUUUGUGUCACACCUUGACCUUUUACCCUAUAUUAAUAUUACUCAUCUUCAACUAACAUUUGUAUUUUAGCCACAAAAAUUUAAAAGUAACUCAGCCUUCAGCUUUGCCUUCACGUGUUCAGCUUUAUGGCUCUCAAUCAUUCGUCUCUCUACAGUAAAUCAAACUAUCAUACGCCUCUCGAUGCCUGCAAUCAACACCCGAUCCUUCCUCAAUUCUUUAUGUAUAAUACUCUCUCGGCUUACGUUAGCGAUAUCCACUCUCCCAUGGUUGACUCUGACGCCUGAAAUGGAAACCGGUGGUGGUUAUACCCUCUGUUGAAGUCUUCGUUUCUCACCGGCAUACUCCACGCAUCCGGAUUUUUCCUUUUUCUUCAAGGUAAGCAUUUUUUUCUCCCGACAAUUAUGGUUAAGGAAUCGAUUUGAGAGCGGUUUUUGUACCGGAUGGAUUUUUGUUCUCCAUGCAGUGUUUCUUCUGUCGGUUCCUUUGGAAUGAGAUUUUGUGUUCUUGAAUUAGGUUUUUCUGUUUUUGGAAUCGUUUCUGGAAUUGCAGGUGCUAGAAUGGCUAAAUAAGUAAGAGUAGGGAGUUUGUGGUUUAUAAGAGUACUGUUUGUGAUGAUUUCCAAUUUAUCAGGUUUUUAUAAGAUUGAGCUAUGGGGAUGAUGGAUGAGAAUGUUUGCCAUCGAGAAUCUCAAAGACUUGAAAUGCAAGAAAUGGAGUAUACUAUGAAAACUUUGACUAAACUAGAAUUGGACUUGGCGUAUUCAUCGGAGAAGUUGAUGAAUCUUCAUGUGCUUCUGAUGUGCCUACUUGCUCAGGAGAAUGAUUUUGAGGCUAUGGAUUUGGUGCAUGAUUAUAUACCGGAUGAUUCGUUUGGGAAGGUGUUGGUGUUUGAUUUUUUGUCCGGCUUUUUGGAUUCGGAAGUGAGGGAGCUGGAUAGUUUCAUGAAUACACUCGAAGCAGAAACAGUUGAUGCCCGUGGAAUGGUAUCUACUUGCUUACAAUCAACUGAGGUUUUCAGUGUGUUGGAAGGAAAAUUGCUUGAUUCGGAGAAGUCGCUUGUUCAAUCCCGAAAGCAGAUUUUGGAAGUGAAGAUGCAGUCAACCAAAUUGCAGAGAAUUGUUUUAAGCAGUGGAAAUUGUUCGUGAUUUUUUCUUUUUAUUCAGUUUUUAGUGACCUUAGAUGAUGAAGAAUUGACUACUUUGUAAUUCUGAAUGCUCUGCCUUUGUGACAGGGAGAUUGGAAGAUCCGAUGAUGUCGUCACAAAAUGAUCAAGUUUUCAACAUAAACGGGAAAUCAAAUACAAUGACUGAACAGCAAAGGCAUAUUUUAAGGAUGCUAGAAAAAUCACUUGCAAGGGAGCUAGAUCUCGAAAAGCAGUUGUCUGAAUCAAAGCAACGAGAAGAAGAGCUCAAAAUGAAGCUACACUAUACUGAACAAGUUGCUUUGAGAAUGGAAGAGACUGCAGAAGUUGUUUGGGGUAGGUUUUUAGAGGCAGACAAUAGUGUCGAGAUACUCAUGGGGAUUUCAAAGGAAUUUGUUGGCCGCCUCCAGCUUGUCCAAUUCAAUCUACAUGGUUCAUUUCAACGUGAGAACGAUAUCAAAGCUAAAUUUCAAGAUUGGACGGAGCAGCUAAAUGCAAAAGAGGUGGCUAUACAGAAGCUUGAGAAAAGGAAUGCUGAACUAAUUGCCAAGAAUGCUGAACUAGAUAAAUUGAGGGAAGAAGUGAAGUCCCUUGAGGAACAGCUUAAAGAAUCUAGGCUUGAUCUGAAAAGUGCAUAUGACUCAAAUGAAGCAAGUCAAGAUCAGCUUAUUGAAAUGGAAAAUCUUGUUGAGACACUGAAAGAAAGCAUCUGCAUAUCAGAAAAUAGAGCAGAGGGUGCUGAAACCAAGCUUACACAGCUACAAGAGACAAACUUGGAACUUACCGAAGAGGUGAGUUUUCUUAAAGAUAGUGUAAGCAACAAAGAGAAAAAGGUUGGUUCACUUGAAAAGCAGUUGAGGGAACUAGAGAUUCAACUGCAGCAUGCAAAAUCAUCAUCAGAAGCAAGUCAGGAGCAACAAAACAUGUUAUAUUCUGCAAUAUGGGACAUGGAAACUCUCAUUGAGGAUCUUAAAUCCAAAGUAUCUAAAGCUGAAAGUAAGACUGAUAGUGCAGAGGAGCAUUGCAUUAUCUUGUCUGAAACCAACUUCGAACUCAAUAAAGAACUUACUUCGCUCAAGGGUCAAGUGGAGUUCUUAGAGAAAUCACUGGAUCAAGCCAAUGGUGAAAAAUAUGCAAAUGCAAACGAAAUUAACUUGAGUUCCAAGUUUGUCAUGGACAUGGUGCUCCAACUAGCUGUUGAAAGGGAUCGGAUUCAGAGCCAGGUAUUACUUUACAGAAUCAUUUAACCUUUAUAAAUUUGGCUAUAUAAAGAUAUUCAGUUGGCUGCACUCAUCACAAUAAUCUAAUAAACACUUAACUGUUUCAUCCAUGUAAGACUGAAGAAAAAACAGAUUGUAAAUAUUCUUAAUUUUCAAUUGCAACACUUUUACCCAGUGGCCUCUUUGAAUCAACUGUUGCUUCUGCCUUCCAUGAUUUCAGUAAGUUGUUGGAAGCAAUUUUUAAUUUUUCAUGAUAUUAAAGCUCGGUCCUGAAUGCUGAUAAACAGAUAAAGUAAGCUGAAUUAGUUUCAGCUAUAAUAUUUAUUUUUUCUACAUACAAGAGGCAUAUUUCUCGAGAGCUCCAGAAAAGUCAUCUCGUCCAAACUCUAUUUGCUCAUGCAGCUAUCCAUUUUGACGAACGAUAACAAAGCUCUGAUUGAGAAAUUGAAAAAUGUAAGAGAUAGUGCACCUAUAGUCACACUUCACAGAGAAGACUACGACGAGAAGGAGCAGUCAGCUCCAAAGAAGGAUGUAAAUAUACUGGCUCAAUGAUAUCUGAGGAAACUUUUAUGAGUCUUUACGAAAAGGGGUCAAGAGGCAGGUAGUCUUUCUUGUAAAUCAAAUUGAAUUACUUCAUGAGUACGUACAACAACCAAUUUGCUCAACUGAAGAAUGUUUGUAUCUAUGAUGUCUGCUUCUAAUUCUACUACUUUUUCUUCUUCUUGGGCAUCAGAUUACUAAAGCACCUUAUAAAAGCACACCCAAGUGUUGGGCUGAAGGUACUUCUUCUGUAUCCAUCAGUUAACAUGCUGAGAAUGUCUCAAAACCUAAAGUUGUGAGGGUGGCCAGGUACAAAGAUUUUUGUGUGUAUUCUUCUUAUUAUUUUGUUUUACUUCUUUUAGUAUCACUGUAUUCUUUUAUCCAGAGUCUUCCACGUUCUAUGGUUUUUUGUGGUUAAAAUUUCCAUGGCCUUUGGACCCAAAGAAAAAAAAGGAAAAACUUUCAUGGCCAUUGCCCCAUGUAUUCCAUUGUUGUUGUCAAAUAGAUUUCUGUUAGGAGGUUGUGUUGGUGGCUUUCCACUUAUAGUGAGAUUGUGCUAUAUUCUCUUCAUUGGUCAAAUGUGAAUAUAAAACUAUCGUAUUUGGAUGUAGAUAUAUGUAUUUGGAUUUGGCUUCGUUCCCUCUUGGAACUUGAAUUUGAGGGUGUUUUGAAACUCACAGUAACUGACGGAGGGUAAUGUAUUCCUAAAUUCAUGUUUGAAUUGAGUGUUUUGAGCUCGAAUUGAAAUAUUAAACUCAUUCAUUUGGACAGUUUUCUAUCUUUGUUUUCCAUCGUUUAUUACAGUUUCAUUUUUGUUUCCCCUCAACUUAACAUGCAUUCUAACACUCCUAUGAUCUCUUAUAAUUAUGUUUACAUUUCAGUUCCUCAAAUACCUCUUUGUAUUUUAUUUGGUUGAUCUGAGAUGUUGUCAUUUGAGCUAACUUUCUCUCCCUCCUUUUUUUGGUUACAUUUUUCCGUGCUUCUACUUUGAGCCUUUUCUUUUUGUUAGUAUUUCAAGUCUCUAGUUAUUGACUUAGUUAGAACAUGAAAGAAAUAUAAUAGAUUACUAUUAUAGUCAUUCUGAUCAUAGUAUUAGAUGUUUGUCGACAUAUUGAUAGUCACACAUUUCUAUGAAUUUGAUAUUCACGUGAAUGGUGAAUUGAUAUGUUCAUCAACAACAUCAGGUUUCUAUCAUUUUUCAAAAGAAAUAUAUAAUUAUUUGGUUAAUCUUCGUAAAUGUAACAAACCAACGAUAUAUUUACUGACUGUGUAACAAAAUGAAAAUGCUGGUCAUUUUUUAAAAAAAUAUUUCACAAAAUAUGUACAAAGAAUACUUAAAAAAAUCUAAACGAUCAUAUUUAAAAUAUAAGCUAUCUUUAAAAAAGUUAAAAAUUUGGAGCGUAUCAAAUUAUCGUGUUUCAACAAAUUUAAAUGAUCAAUUGUGUAGUGAAAAUAAAUCUUGUAUUGAAAAAAUGGUUUAGAUUUGGCUAUCCAAUCUUUUAGAUUUGGCUACCAUAUUUAAAGAUAGAAAAAAAAAAUAGAAUAGUCAAAUCUAUCUAAAUAAUUGAUUUCCAAAUAUAUUAAGAACUUGAUGCAAAUUGAUCUUGCAUCUUUUUUUUAUAUAUUAUAAUGGUCUGGAUUCUUUUUUGUUUUUAAAAUUGUUUGCGCAAAUAUCGUGAUUAUUUCAAACCAUUUUUAAAAUUUUUUGUCCUAAUUUAAAAGUUUGAAAAUUAGAUUGUUUUUAAAAAAAUUUAUCCUAAUUUAAAAGUUUGAAAAUUAGAUUGGGUGACAAAAAUAUGUAUUUAUAAAUGCAACCAUGGCUUUAGUUUUUAGAUUUUGUAAAUAUUAGCAAAAGGCGUAGGAUUUUUAUUUUAUGUUUUAUACCACUUUGCUUUCCUUUCUACCCAUCUCUCUCACCUAAUUUCUACCAAUAUUUUUUCAUCCACAUCUUUUAUCUUUUCAAUUUAUUUAACUAUCUUCUCUCUAUAUUUGAUUUAUAUGUUUAUUUAUUUAUUUAUUUACUUCCGUCUUUUUGUUUUUAGAUUUUCGCCUAUUGUUUUAAUUCAAUUAACAUGAUAGAUCUUUUUAUUUCAUUUUAAUCUUUAUUCUAUUUUUUCAUUUGAUGUAUGAGAUUUUUUUCAUCUAAGUUAGGUUAUUCUAUAAAUUGAUGUAUCAAAUUUAAACUAGAUUAUAUGACAGUUAUAUAUAAUAGUUUUUGUUGAGUGAGAAGUGAAAUCGUAAUUUUGGUUAAGUCAUCCUAUUUUAACUACAAAAUAUCUCAAGUGAAUCGAUAAUAUAAACAUCUGUAUUCUUAUGAAUUAUAUCAACCAUAUAUUAAUCAAGUGUAUAUUGAUUAAACAUGUGUAUCGUUAUAAAACUAUAUUGAGUAUAUGAGUAUUUGAUACACCUAACUGACCAAAUAAAUAAGUUUAUCUCAUUUUUAUUUUCUUAUUUAAUUUGGGACUUUUUUAAAAAAGAAAUUGUUUGUUUCCAACAUUUUCAAAGUUUGUUAAAUAUACUAUAAUAUUAAACAACAAUUAGAUAGAUAGAUGGACAUUAAAUAACACUCCACUCCGAUACUAAUAGACAUAAAUGAUGAAAAUAUCAUAUAAUAAUUAAACAAUAAUUAGAUAACAAUUAUAUUUGAUAUCAUUUACAAUCGAUAACUAUCAAUAUCAAAUAAAGUUUCGUUAUAAUCAAAUAAGAAUAGGUGUCAAAUGGUAACAAAAUAAUAUUAUUAAGAAUCACUAAUUGACAAAAAUAAAUCAGACAAUAUUAUAAACUACGAAAAAUUGAGUGAACAAAACACGUUAAAGAAUAAAAAAUAAUAUUAUAGCCAAUAAAAAAAUAAUUAUAACACUUAGAUUCUAUAUAUUUGAGUCUUCUAAGUCAAAUUUAAGACAUAUUUAAUAUUGAAAUUCAAUAUGUUUAAGUUUUUUUUUUUUUUGGGUGAAAUCUCAAGGUUAACACUGAGAUUCUGUAUAUACUCUAAUUUGAAAAAUCUAUUUUGUUAAUUAAAAAAUUACACUUUAAUUUGUUAUAACAAUGAUUAGAGAUAAUGAAAUUUGAAGAAAUUUUGAAAGAAUAAAAUUUAGUAUAAGAUUUUGAAGAAAUUACAUCAAGAGAGUAGCAAAUGUUAAUAUGGGGGUAGAUGUAUGGAUUUGAAGGAGGGACUAGGUUUUUUACCACAAAACCCCGUAUACGUAUUAUUGUUCUCUCACAAUUUUCCACUAAAACCCUAAUCCCUCAAACUUCUAUAAAAGCCCAUAAGUUGGUUCACUCACAAUUGCAACAACUUGAAAAGCUUUGCCCAUUGGGGCUAAUCUGGAGAUCAUCAUCUUCGAAUAUCCUCUCUCUGGUAAGCGGCGCAUUACUUAGCCAUUAGCAUAAAUAUUUGAAUUCCCUUUUACUUCAUGAUUUGAUGCACCGAAUAGCCCCUUGUUUCUUCCAGUUUAGUGACAAGGAAAAUCGAGAAAAGGGUAUACUUAUGGUGCUACAUUCAUUUUGGCUUUUACAUCUAUGGUUGUGGCGGAUUUUUUUCUCCAGCCCAACCCUGCUUAGCCAAAGAAACAACUAUAAACUCGUCUUAAGAAUGUUUACUUUCGAAAUGUCCUGUUCCCUUUUCAUGGGGUUGUCUUAACUUGACUCUAAAUAAUGUAAGAUAUAGCCAACAAAAUGAUGAGGUUUUUUUUGAGGUGAAUAUAUGAUGUGCCUAACUCAUAUUGUGCUAUGCCUUCAAAGUUCUCUGAUUGUUGUUGCCUUAUGUUUGUUCACUUUACAUUUUUUUUUUUGAAAAAAAAAAAGGAAAAUGUGAUUUUGAUAUCCUUUAAGGAUAAGUGAAUUGAUGCAGAUAUGUUUUUCUUUUUUAUUGAAUUGAUCAACUUGUUGUUAUAAGAGAAGCAGAGCAAGAUGAUGGAAACUUUAUUAUCUGAAAUUGAUGUGGAACUUAUAUCAUUCAUUCUGGUCUUCAAAGUUCUCUGAUUGCUUUGCUAUUUUGCUGUUUCACACCAUAUUAUAUAUAUAAUUGGUGUUUCAGUUUGAAUGUGAAAUUACUAUAUCCAUUAUUCAUUUUUUCACGUCUUUCAAAUUACCUCUUUCUUUUCUUCCAUUUUUUAUAGAUUAAUUAUGUAUGUUAACUGUCCAUUUAGAUAUUUUCAAAUAAUUUAGGGGAAGUAGGCAAUACAGGGUAGCACUUAAAUUCAUGGUCUGCAGGGAACUUGUAUCUCAGGCCAUACGAGCAUAGUGCGACAUUGAAAGCUCUCCUUUUCUUCUCUUUGUUGCCUCAGUUAAUUGCAUGAGAUUGAGGCAGAACUGGAAAGGACAUAAUGCAAUUAUCUUUUUUUGCUAAUCAGUUAUCUCACUUGGAGUUUACACGAUUCAAGUGUACACUUACCUCUGCAGCCUCUAGAGAGUUUACGUCUUGUUAUGGAUGGAUGUUAUUGUGAACCUUGAUUUAUUAUUGACUUUGUUGUAGUUCUCAUGUGUGUGCCUCACCCAUGUUGUAUGAAUAAUGGUGUAGUUUAUAGAUAUUUUCUAAUAAUAUUCAACAUAUCGUGCCCUUUCCACUAUUAAUUGCACUGACUAAAAAAUAUGUAAACUUUUCUUUUGUCGAAAAGAUUUUAAUUUAUAUCUUAGGAUGACUAAGCUUCAGCAAUAUGUGGUUUCUCUGCAUCAGUCUACUCCAACGAGAGAAUCCAUCUUUCUUGAUGCUGCCAUCUUUAGUGUACUAGUGUACUUUGAUGAAAAUAUAGCUACUUAUACUUCAAGCCUCCGUCUUUAGAACUCAAGAUCCAAUGGUCUGAUGACACUACCCUCCUCCUUUGUCCGGGCUUGGGACCGGCUGCGUGGAAGAAAUGAUGCUUAAGGCACGACACAGGCAGAGUUAUCAUGUCUUUACAUAAGUUGUAGAAUAACAUGAAUUUUCAGGGAAAUUGGAGCAGAUGUGGUCUUGGUGAUGAACCACACAAGGUCAAGAAACAGAGACUGUCAAAAGAGAUAAAAACACAUGGGCAUGGAUUCUACAGAAUUGCACCCUCUGUCCAUCUCCGGACAAUGGGAUGCAGAUUCUGUCAUAUUCACUUGAAUGAUAUAAUAAAGGCUGGCAAGAUGAGGCCAGCCGCCAGCCAACAGAUCCAAGUGAAGUUUGGAUAGAGUAGAAGACUUCCUAUGAUGCAGGUACCAAUUGCAGCAAAUAGAGCACCGAACGUUUGCAACAGCUGUGCAGUUUUUGGGAAUGGCUUUUGAAGGAUAACUCCAUCAUAGGAAAAUAUGAAGGAAGUCAACAUAACAGCAGCAAAAAGCCUUGAAGGAAGAGGUGAAGAAGAUGAAGGGUUUAAGCUGAGAAACAAGCCUACAAUGGCCUGAAAAGUUAAACUUAGAAAUGUGUUCCCAAACUGAGGGCUGUUGACUGGUGAAGGCCUCUGCAUUUUGAUGUAAAUUGGCAGGCAAUCUGAUGCUGCUCCCCCCCACGUACAACUGCUUAUUCCAGGAUUUCUAUUUGUGACUGCAAAGAUCAAGGAAUUGAGUUUAUUCAUGUCUAGGGAGAUUUCAUGUGGUGGUGUUUCUGCCAUUAGGAAACAAAAAAGAUUUGAUCAAUACUCUAAAGUGGUUUCCUUGGACUAAUUCAGUCCUCCAGUCUCCUUUUAAUAUUGCAUGGAGUAUUCUAGAAUAUAAUGAAGAAGUUUUUGUGAUUCUCCUACAAGUUUUUUUUUUUUUAUUACUAUUAUUAAAUAUCCUAGAAAAUUUGUCCACUUUUUGGGUCAAGUUAAUUUCACCGUUGCUUCUUUUUCGUACGACAAAACGAGGCCCCUCUGGCCCUUUCGGUGGUAUGUUGGAUGACUGAUGGGAAAAAGAUACAUUAAAAAAGAAGUAUAAAAAAAAUACAGACUUGCUGGUUUUUAAUUGAUUUUUUUAAUAUUUUCAUGACAAUAGCGUAAGAAGGUUUCAAAGGUUUCAAAAUAGGUCUAACAAAGUCGUGUAAUUAGAUAAAAAAGGAAAAAAAUGAAAAAUGUAUAUUUAAAAUUUACAAUUUAUUUUCUUGGUGAAGGGGAGAGGAUUCAUAUUUGCAAAAAAAAAAUCUUAUAACAAUGAAAAAAGUAUUCAAAACAAUCUAUAAUACAAAUAAAUGCAAGCAAACUACAAAAUAAUAAAGCUAAACUAAGAAGAUAGUAAAACAAUUUGAAAAUAUAAUAAAUCAACAGUGCAAAUAUGAUUGACUAGCGUUAAGGUUCCUAAGUGUAAGGACUAAUUAGUAGACGACACCACUGAGAAUCUUAACAAUUUGAAAUGCCACCAAAAAGAGAAAUUAAAAAAAGAGGAAAGCGAUCACAAAUUUCACCAAAAUCACUUUUACUAUUUCAAGAACUUGGGAAACAAGUCUAGGUUGCCCUUCAUUAAUUUCCAAGAAGCUUCCUUCCCUCUCACCUUUUUGUCAUCUUUCUUCAUAUAAGCCAAUUAAAAUGGAUGUUAAUGACGUUUGGAAUUUGAUGAACAAUAGAUAUAUUUAGGGUUUAGAUUAUGAUUGAUCUCAUUUCAUUAUCCUUAUAGGCUCACAAGAUGAUAAUAACUUUUGGUGGGUAGAGGAAGCUAGUUGAGUCACAUAAAUAAUAUUCACUUUUCAUGGACAUCUAGAAUCCCCUCUACGAAAUUAAAUUGAUUUCAUCCUUACCAUUUUUCUUCUCUUCCAAUUGGUUGUUUACAAUGUUAUUUUAUCUUUCCGGAGAGGUUUGGAAAUGAUACUAACAUUAUUAAAGUCUCCUUUUUUUUUUUUUUCUUUUCAAUUCUCACAAUCUUCAAAACAAAUUUUGGUUCGAAAAUUGCAUUUAAUUUUUUAAUAAUUAAAUCUAUAUUUAUUUUUAGCCAUUAAAAUUGCAUUUUUUACCGUGAUUUUUGGAUUAAACAUUCCUACUUUCUUUUCUUUUAGUCAUUAGUUGGGUCCAUGAAAUGCUGCUAAAUAUUGCAACCACAUAGACGAGGCAUUGGAGAUAAUCUCAAGUAACUCAUGUGACACUGAUUGAGUGCGAAUCCCAAACCUAGGCGAGGGAGGAAUCCCAAGUUUCGGUAAUGAGUAUAAGUUGUGAUAUGAUUAAGCUCGUGGUACUUAUGACAUUUGCUAUAAUGAUGGUCGUAUUGUUGUGGAUCGCAAUGCGUUAAAUUGCUAGGCGAUCUGAGCAUGCAAUGCUUGUAGAAGUUUCUGUAGUGAUGGUCGUAUUGUUGUGGACCGUAAUGUGUUAAAUUACUAGGUGAUCUGAGCAUGCAGUGCUUGUAGCAUUUGUUGUACUGAUGGUGUAAUGGUUUGUUGUGAUGAGAUUUAUAUGUUGCUAUCUGACCUUAUUAUUAUUGUUUUUGUGGUGUUUGCCCUAAAAAGGGUUUUCUAAAAUCCAUCUCUCACUAACUCUGUUCGACUUACGUUUUAAGUGUUUUUCCUCCCAAGGUUGUUAGGCAUUGAGGCCAUGCGAAGGUUAGUUUUGAGGUUACAUAGCCAAGCUAAGAAGGGAAGACGGAGUGUCUCUGUAGUUUCACAUGGCACAUUGGUCAUGAAAGUUUCUAUUACACUUGAGGAGUUGGUUGGUAACCGGUGUUGGGAUUUAUGUCCUAAAACUCAUAGAUUGUAUAUAUAAUUCAUUGACGGUUAUUAAUAAAGUGUUAUUAUUGUAAUAAUUGUUAUUGAUUAUAUUAUUAGUCUUGUCUUAAUAACCCAAAUCCAAUAAACUAACAUCCUAAGUUGUUUGAUGAGUCUUGAACAGUAUGUAGAGACAUAUAGAGAUCAAUGUUCAAAAUUAGCUUAAAGGGUUUAUUGUAUAGGGAUAAGGUUGGGUACUUUAUCCUGGUAACACUAUGGAUACAACUCACUUUGUAUUUGAUACAAACGCAAUGAUUCAACGCAUCCGUGUAGUUAACAUGCAAGUGAGAGUAUUCUAUGCAAUAAAUUUGCAUAAGACCGGACUGCGAAAUAGUAAUCAUUAGAUGUAACUCCAUUAACUAGUUAGGUUUCCAUUUCAUUAGAAUGACCUAGGUAACUUACUCUUAAUCCUGAGUGUAUUAUUAUGAGCUCUUGUACGCGAGAGAUUGUCCUUUGAUUUAUACGAGUGAGAGUGGUCAGAUCGUCGACUCAAUAAGCUCACCAUUUUGGAAACAAGAUCGAGUUGGGAGCUGAAAACAUAAUUACACAAGAUGAAAUUCAAAUUUUCCAACUUUAGGGUAAGUAGAUGAGUGUUCCCUUAAAUAGUGUCUCCAAGACAUGAACAAAGGGUCUUACCUUCUCUAUGGUACGAGAGAGGUUUUUGUUUAUUGGUAAGUCCAUAAACAGGUUGUUCAUUAGAGAAUCACUAAUAUUUAAGGAUUAGAGGUAACUUGGGUCCCCUUCCUAGCUCAUAAAGGGUAAUGAAAUUUAUUUGUAUUGGCCGUGAUUUGAAAUGUUCAAAAUUACUUUGGAAAUUAGUUUGAUGUAUAGUGAUACAUUAUAAUAAAAAGUUUAUCAAACUUUAUUAUAUAAAUUUAAUUGUGGAUAUGAUUCAAAAUUAAUUUAUGAAAGAUAAAAUAUUUUAAUAAGUUCAAAUAUUAAUUGAAUGUGAAUUGGAUUCAUACUAAAAUUAUUGGUUAUGAGAGAAAAUUAUAUUUUAAUAUGAUUCAAAUUUAAUUUAAGUUAAAUAUAAGAUAUUUAAUUUAGCUAUUAAUUAACAGUUUAGUUCUAUUUGAUUUAAUUAAAUUAAUAUAAAAUUAUAAGAUAUUGGAGAGAUAUUCAUUACAUAAGAUUUAAAUUAAAUAUGAUUUAAUUAAUUAUUAACUCACUGAAUAAUGGUUAAUUAAUUAGUAUAUAUGAAAUUUCUAUUAAUUUAAUAUUUUUUAAAUUAAUAGAAUCUCAUGGUUCUCUCAUACUCCAGGAAGAAAAUAGAGUUAUAAAUAUUUAGAAGAAAACAGUUUUCUUUGAUGAUUCAGUAAAGAAAAAAAAAAUGUCUUUGCUCUUUGCAAAGAAAAAAAUAAUCUCUCUAAACAUUUUUCUCAUCUCAAUUGGUUUCCACAAACUAAUCUCAUCACAUAGAAUAGAAAGGUCUUCGAUAGGUGAUGUCCCAUACUUUGUAGGUUCAGAGACAUAAACAAGUAAGUUUUCCUUUCUCUAACUAUAAUUAUAAAGUAUGCUUAGUCUUUAAGUCUUAAUAAGAAAACUAGUUUCUUAAUUAAUUUUGUCAAUAUACUGGUAUUUUGGGAUUUCCAAAUUAAAUUGAAGAAUUGUUUUGUAAAAUCUUCCGUUGUCCUAGCUAGAGCUUUUAUCCCUUCAAGCGGAUCGUUCCUUAGUGUGGAUGCCCUGACUUAAAAGGCAGAUGAGUGCAAUACUCAGGUUGGUAAAGGACUAACCUGGUGAGCCAAAGAGCCAAGGAGCUAAGUCAGGAUCAGAGGAGAGUAGCCCUAACGGGCUCGCUAAGAGAGUUAUUUGGACAACCUAGGUGAAGAAAGAAGUGUCACCUUUACACUUCUAGGUAUCCUCUAUAAGGAGCAACAUUAGUGGUGAAAAACAAGAAAGAAAAGGACGGUAAGAAGCCGACUCUGACCUUAGAGAGAGCAAAAGAGUCGAAGAGUUUAGUUGAAGAAAAGAAGGUUUCAUACAUUUAAGUACCCGCCUCAAGAAGCAAUAUUACGCAGUAGCCAAAUAUUAAUGCCAAAAGAAGUUUAAAGAAUUGUAAUUGUAAUUUUCAAACUUUGUAAAAGCGUUAAAUAAAAAGAAGUUUUGCACUCAUUUCGUUGUUUUAUUUGUGUCUAUUUCGUCAAUGGAUGAAAAAUAAAAGAGAACUCAAUGUCAAGGACGCGUUGGUAAAAAUUUAAGUUAUUGUAUUCCACUUCCCAGUGUUAAGGAAGUUUGAUAUUUAAGUUAUGCGAAAAGAAAUAAGUUGUUUCGCUAAUGGCUAGACGUUUAAUGUGUUACCUCGCAAGAAGUGCACAAUAAAGGUUUAGGUGGCACGCAUCCACAUGAUUAUGAGAAGCGACUUUUGGGGCGGGGCAUGACACAAAAUCAUCUUCAUUCACAUACUUUUAUUCUUAAACUCUUUUCACCUUAAACUAUAUGAUUAAUUUGAGAAUUAUUCAUGGAUUAUAUAUCAUUCAAAAUCAUGUAGAUCAUUGGUAUCUCUAUUCACCUACACCAUCUCAUAUAUAUAGGCGAAAUUAGUGAAUGCGUUUUGGUUUUCUCAAUGAGUCAAGACAAUUUCAGACCAAAAGAAAAUAAUUAAAUUAUGUAGUUGUAGUUUUAUUUUGGUGAAAAAUUGACAACAUAUGAGAAAAAUUAUUGAGUUAUAGCGAUCUCAUAAAAAUGAAACGAAAUAGAAAAUGAAAGAAAACUUAGGGGUUAAAUAAGCACACUAAUUUCAAAUAGGAAAUAAAACAAAUUAAAUGUAAUUAGUUGAUUUUUCUUCUAAAAAUAAGGUUAUUCGACUAUUAUUUACAAAAAUAAAUACAAAAAUGAACUAGAAUAUUUAAAAAAUAUAACAAAACAUCAUAAUCUACUCUCCUAUUUGUGUCUAUAUGUAUCAGGAUAAACAUAGAUAAUAAUCUACCUUUGCUAGACUAUUAAGAUAUAUUGUAAUAUUUUGCUAUAUUUAUAGUUAUUUUCAAAAGUUUUUUCAUUUAAAAUAAUUUUUCUAAUGAAAAUGUUUAGUUUCUAAUUUUCAAGAAAAUAUAGACUUGUCUUACAAAGGAAAAAGAUAUAUCUUUUUGACCUUUUGAAAAUGAAAUUUGAGAGAAAAAUUAUUUAAAUUAUUCUAUGAAAUUAUUUGUAUAACUUCUAUGAAAUAAUAUGUGAGAGUUCAAAAUGGAAAAACUAAUACUUAAAAAAUCCAAAAGUAAAUUAAAAAAAACCCAAAUAAAAUAAGAAGAUAAGGUCCCUUUGUAACCAUUUCGUUUUUUAUUUUGAAAAUUAAACAUAUUUUUUUGGUUGUGAAAAACAUAUGAGAUGAGAUUAAAUGCCCUUUAGCUAUAUCAGAAGUAUUUAAUUAUAGGAAUAACUAGACUACACGGAAGACAAAUAACACAGUGCAUUUUGGUAACCCAGUUCGGCAAAUAUGGUCUACAUCGGGAGAUAAAAAAUAUUAUUGAGAUUAAAAAAUUUGUAACUUAACCCUAAAGUUACAUUAAUAAGUUAUCACCAUAACUCAAGCGUAUAAACUCAGGCUCCUCUGACAGUAAACUUGAAUCUCCUCGAAGAUGAAUUAUAGAUUCUUAUAGAUUCUUCACAAAAAAUAUAAACGGUUGAACACCGUUGUGAAAAAUAAUUUUACAUUCAUUGAACUUUUUCUUUUUAAAGAGCCAAAAAAGAAGAACUUACAAUAAAAUAUUCCUAAAUAUAAGUAAUAUCUUCUUCUUUAAAGAAGAUAUUUAAGGAAGGUCUUUUGAUUUCUUAUUAAAAGAUAUUAAUAAAUGAUUCUAACUCAAUUUUUUUAAAAAUUAACCUUUUUGAAUGGGAAGGUAAAUUUACAAAAUUUUAUCAAAAAAAAGUUUAAAAAAAAAUGUUAAAAUUUACAAAAAUUUUGUUUGUGUGAAUAUGUGUAAGCAAUAUAAAAUUGGAAAAGAUUUUUGGAAAAAUGAAAUGAUCAAAUAAAUUUUUUAAACUUUAAAUAUGUAUGAAUGCAAUUUAUAGUUACUUUUUCCUUCUCUGUUCCUUUAAUUUUCCCUACUUUCUCUCUCUCUCCUCUAUUUGAUGCCUAAGAGAUAAGUUGUUGAGAAGAAAGGUAAAAGAAUGCCACAAUUAAAUUAAUUCAAAGGAAGAACAUAAUAGACAUUAUAAAAUCCAAGAAAGGGCAAAAUCUAAAUAAGAUCUUCAACCAAUCCAAGUCUUAAUAUUUAAGUUACUUUUAUUUUUUUAAGCAUGUUAUUUUAUUAACUUAAUUACUCAAACUUGUUUUCAUAAAACUCGAAAAGGUUAAAUAUGAAAAUGGAAGGUAGCAAUUACAUACUUAAAAACAAAAGGGAUGAAUAAUAUUUGUAAGUAAUGGUAUAUAUUAUUUUUGAAUAAUAUUAAAAAUUCAUAUUAGAUGGGGUCAACCAAACACUAAAAUUUGCUACUUAUUUCAAUUGACCUAAUUUUGUAAGAAAAUAUAAAAUGUAUGCAAUGUGUCCAAAAGUAAAUGUUUUGGUUAGGGAGAUUUUAUUCCAUAUGGGGCCAUAUAUCCCACUUUAUGGUUUGUACUUUUUGUGAAAUUUCCCCCCCACAAACACUUUAAUUUGAAAAACUUGGUGAAGAAGUUUGGGUUUCCUUUCCUAAUUUCCAUGAAGCUCAUCCAACCUCUUGUUUCCAUCUAUAAAGAAACUAAAUUAGUCCAGAAUACCAAUAAUGACCUCAUAUCAUCCAAUAUCUAUCUAUCAUCAAAUAUCUAUCUAUCAAAUUAUCUUCACUAAAUGCGAUGCAAAUUAGAGAAAAUGAAAUCAAACCAAAUUUCAUCAACAACACUCUUAAACUCUAUUCUAUUUGUAUCUUUCAACACUCUCACAAUCCUUAUGUUCCUUUCAGCAAGAAGCAAGGAUUUGAGGAGUUUGGUUAUAUUCAAUGCCCUUUCUUAUCCCUCAUUUGCCUUUGAUGCCUUUGUUCUAUCCAUUACCUUUUCUUUCUCAACUGCUUUGGGUGCACUUUUGAUUCCUAAUAAGCCUAUUCUAGCCAUCUAUUAUGCCUUCUAUUCCGUGGCUUUCAUGGCUUUUGCUUUGUUUUUGCUGAUUUUGGGACUCUAUUACUUCAUAUGACUUCGUGUUAUCUACAUGUCAGUGUCAUUUAAAUAUGAAUUCUAAGUGUCUUAAUGAGAUGUUAUCAAAGAAGAAUGUGAAGCUAGCAAUAAUCCUUUUGCAAAUCAAGUCUUGGAUUAUUGCUCACUUCUCUUGUACUUUACAGUCAUCCCAUUUUAUCUCAAUUUCAUAUUUAUGUCUGUGUAAUGUUUUUGGAUUCCGAUUUACACCUAAAAAGUUUGGUCAUUAUUCAUCUCAUAACUAACUAUAUAUGUACAUUUUGACAAUUUAACAUGUAUGUUAUUAAGUGUUUUAAUCAUGUGCUAAUAGGAAAAGGGGAGUGAAAUCUCAUAUCUCUUCCAGUUUACACAAUGCUCAUUGUUUCAUAGAGACGUCCUCACUUUCCUUGUCAAGGAAAUGAAUGAUAUUUGGAAAAUUGUAUUCAAUCUAAAUACGCAUCAACAACUUUCUUUCGCGAAUUGAUGAUAAUUAAUCUUCUAACCCUUCUCUAAUCGCUAGGCCUUCCAACGCUGCGAUACAUUUUCGGUUUUUGUAUUUUAAUAUUAAUUUUGAAGUUUAAAAACACAAUAUAUAUAUAGUAAAUAAUGCUUCUUUAAAAAUAAAUUUGAUUUCUGGUGCAGUGGUUGUACCCCUUUAUAACUCUAACAUCUUUACUUUGCAUCUUAUCUCUUGCAAUUAUUUGUAUGGAUUAGUUUUUAUUCCAAAUAUAAAUAAUUUUCUAAAUGAAAGAUAAUUUGAUUUCCUAAAAGUAAAAUAAUUAAGUUCAAAUUCUUUUUAACAUUUUUAGUUUUUACUUUUCAAUCUACAUCAUAAAUCAUAAUACUUAUGUUGUUUAAUACUAAUUUUGUAGAGUAAACAUAUCAAUAUGGAGAGGUAUUUUAAAAGAAAAACAACAAUAGAAACUAUAGAGGCAUCAUCUUUGAACAAGAGACAAAUACCUAAUUCGGAUAGAUCUUAUACAGAAAUCAAUUUAGAAGAACUACGUGCAAAUCCUGGUCUAAGAACUAGAAUUUCUAAAUAUAAUUAUAAUAUUCAAGAUCAAGUUCGUAUAGCAUAUCUACAAAAAGGUCAUUGUCAACCUCGAAAUCAUACUUUUCCAUUCAAGAAAUUUGGGACAAAGUCAGGACGAUUUAAUCCAACUUGGUUUAAAGAAUAUCCUAUUUGGUUAGAAUAUAAUAUUUCAAAGGUUGUUGCAUUUUGUUUAUGUUACUACCUAUUUAAACCAGAAGUAAGUGAAGAAUCAGGAGGGGAAUGUUUUGUUAGUGAAGAAUUGAAGAAUUUUCCAAUUGGAAGAAAAAAGAGAAAUUGCAAACUCAUGUGUUGGUGGUUCAAAUAGUGUUUGCUCAGUAAUGCAUUUGUUGCAUUCGGUAGUAAAAAACUUAGUCGACUUACUCAGUUUUAUCCAAGAGAUUUUUCUUCUAUUGAACUCUCUAUGCUUGAGGAUCAACUUCAAAAAUACAUUAUUGAUAUGCGUUCACAGUUUGUCGAACUAAAAAGCAUUGGUGAUCUUGCAGUGAAAAUGGUCGUUACGAAAAGAGAUAAGGUCUACCCAUUAGUUUCGGUUGCUCACAUUGACAUUGAUUUUACCGGUUGCAACAACUACUGUAGAGAAAACAUUUUCUGCUAUGAAUAUUGUGAAGACUCGACUGCAUAAUCGAAUGGAACAUCAAUGGAUGAAUGAUUGUGUUAUAGCUUAUAUUGAGAAGGAUUUAUUGGAUAUGUUAGAUAAUAAACUUAUCAUGGAUCGAUUUCAAAACAUGAAAACUUAAGGACAAUUGUAAUACGUAUUAAAUUAAUUAAUUUUUAAAGCUAAUUAAUAUUAUUUUAGUGUGUUUGUUAUAUAAUGCCCCUAUAUAAAAUUUCUGGAUUCGUCCACUGAUUUCAAUCAUCAUAUUAAUUACACCACCAGGUGUUAGUGUUCAUAUUCCAACAUUUAGCAAGUUGAGGAAUUCAUUGAGAAAAACUAGCAAGAAUGAUUCAAUUAUAACUCCAUAUAUAUUCAGUUUCUUUUGAUUUUUCCUUAUUUUAUAUACUUGUUUUAGAUUUCAUUCGUGCAUCUAUUUAUAUUUGUUUCUCUUAGCUUUUACGACUUACGAGUGUGCUUGAGAGCCGUUAUAGGUGAUUUGGACUGAAAAUGAUAUAUUCAACUUUAUGGAAUUUCCAAACUAUCUAACAAAAAGAAAAUGAUGAAAUUCAAAUCCAAAUCCAAACCAUAAGCCAAGAGGGGUGCUUGAGCCAAGGUGCUAACUAACUUGAUUGGCUUCUCCACCUCGAUCGAGGAUGAGGUUGAGGUCUAGCCUCCUCAUUUAAUGAAUAAUAGAACAUACUAUGCGACCUAUUUGGACUUCGAGAAGAUUAUUUAGGUCAAAACAACCAAAUCAGCCUCCUUAACCUUUGUCAUGUUGAACAUCCAAAUUUGAUGAACCUGACAAGCUAAAUGCAUAUACCCUAGCUUGACACAUUUUGAAUGGGAAGUAACCUAAUAUAAUUCAAAAACUUUGAUUUGGAUGCCUUAGGUAAGAAUUUUACUACAUAUACAUUAUUAUUAUUAUUAUGAGUCCAGAGGAUGUAAGUUCCUUCUAAUACUCAAGCUUUAUCUAGGUAAAUUUAUGAGAGCAUGUGUGAUAAGUACCGCAUUGAUCUGGGGAUCUUUCAAUCUUGCAUCAGUUUGUGAAUCUUUCUAUCUUGCAUGUCCCGUACUUCUCCAAAUACAAAUACAAUUGUUUAAAAUGUGUGUUCCUCUGUCUAGAUUUCGGCAUCAACAAGAGUUGUUUAAAAUUACUUGUGUCAUUUUUAAAAAUAAGUUUUUAAUCAUUCAAAAUCAAUUUUGAUAAAGGAAAACAAAGAAAUUGUAUUUAAAAGUGUAAAGUGAAAUAUUAAAUUAAAUUUGAGUGAUUAAAGUGACAUCUCAAACCUAUUUUGAACAUGGCACAAUUUCAAAAUUACCCUUUAAACAUGCACAAAGUUUGUGUCUAUAUUGCUCCUUCACUUUCAAACUACAAAAUUACUUUAUAUAUUUUUUAAUAUUUACACAUUUACUAAACAUAAAGUUGAAAAUUAAUUUAGGUAUUCCUUAUAUUUACAUUUAACAUUCAAAUUUAUAUAUAGCAAAUCUUUUAAGAACUUUCAAUUUUUCCCACACUCUUGAAAGCUUUGAAUUGUAGAUACUUUUAAAAGUUCAAGAAUGUUAGGUUUAAUCUAAUUGCUUAGAAGUAUUAGGUACUUUGUAAAGGUUAAAAUAGUUUGAUUUAAAUUGACAUAGGAAUUAGAUUAAAAGCAAGUAAGAACACGACAAAUUGUUUAUCGUGCUAAUGUAAGAAACCAACGGGUAUGUUUCCAUUAUAUUCAAUGGAAGCUCAUGGUUUUGUGAGGUUACGUUGAUCAUACCAACGAAAUGGGUAAAUUGUUCCAAAGGAGAAUUAUUUGUGAAGUUGAAUAGUAUAAUCUUGAAUCCAAUAAACAAAGUCACGUAGCUAUCUUGAGUAAACUUAAAUUUUACGUAAAGACAUAAAUGUGGAUCAAGUUUGAGUAUAUAAUCUAAACAGAAUAAUAUAUAAAUUAUAAGGAUGAACGUCUUACUUUGGAGACACUAUGGAUGUGAUAUUGCCAUGAUGUAUUUGAAUAUUUUUUUGUCAAACACUUUAAUUUUUUAAUUGAUUUAUUUUUAAAAGUAAACAAUAUAAAAGUUAAAUAAAAACACACCUAAAUAAUUUCAAUUGAGAAGUUUAAAGACUUAAAUUGUUACAUAAUAUGGAAAAAAAAAAAAAAGUUUGGUCAAUACACCUUAGAAAUUGAAUUAGUAAUUUUAAGUUAAUUUUUAUUUAACUUAUAUUGGUUAAACAAUAAUAGUAGUUUCAACCUAAGAGUAGACCCAACAAAUUUUAGAGAGAUUGAAACUCUUUAUUUAAUAUAUAUAUAUAUAUAUAUAUAACAAACCAAUAAUAUGGACUGUUUCUAAGAUUCGUUGAAUCACACUAUUAGACGUUAAUAAUUUCUUUAAUAGUAAAACAAUAAGGAUUGAACUUUCAACUUCUAAAAACGAAAAUGACGUCAAUAUCACUUAAUCAAACUCAUUUAGACAACUAGACAUUUAGCAUUAGAAAGUAUUGUAUACGAGAAUUAAAAUGGAACGAAAUUCAACAUACAACAUCAAAAAUGCUAUUUCAACCUAUACAUCUGUGGGAACAACUUUUUCUUCAAUAAUAUUAUCUCAACUGGGAAAAAAAAUCCAUACAGAGAGAGCUCAUUAUUCUUGAUGGAGCCAUGGAAGAAGGUCAAACAAAAUGCCUAAUGGAUGGGUAAAGAAAUGGCCAUUUUAUGUCUAAAAAAUGUCACUUAAAUGAUAAAGCAAAGACAAUGAUGGAGAAGGUACAUGCCACCCAACAAAUCCAAGCAAAGUUCUGAUGAACUAGAAGAAAGCUUGCUAUGAAACACACACCAAAUGCAGAAAAAAGCGCACCAACCUUCUCGAAUAAAUGGGCGGUUCUCGGGAAGGAGUUAUGAAGGAAAAGAGCAGCAAAUGAAACAGCAAAGCUAAUGAAAACAGCAGCAGCAAAAAAGUGUAUCAAAAGUGGAGGAGGGGAAGUUGGUGGUGAGCUAAUGAACAAGGCUAAAACUGCUUGAAAACUAAGGCUAAGAAUUAUCUUGCCAAGUUUUUGAGAGCUAUCGGCUGUUGCUUGAGGGCUUUGUUGCAUUCUAAUGAAAACUGGUAAGCAGUUUGAUGGUGUGCAGCAACAGCCAAGUCCAUAGUUUCUUUGGCUGAUUGUUCGGAUAAAAGAAGAAAAUGCACUCAUAUCUAAAGAGGUUUGGUGUGAAGUUGAAGCCAUUGGAAAAGAAAGCUAAAAAAAGGAAAGAAAAUGAUAGUUUUUUCAAUACACUCUCAAGGGGUUUCCCUUUGACCCAUUCAGUAUGGGUUGCCCUUUUUCUAUUGGUGAUAUUUGAUUCUACUACAAUUGUUUUGGUAAUUCGAGUGCAAUUUAUUAGAAGUUUCUUAGAAGUUGUUAGGGUUUUUUUUGUAACACUUUUUUAGUCAAGUUGUUUGACUCUUGCUUCUCUUUCACACACAAUCAUCAAUCAAUUAAACUUUCAUGGUAAAUACUAAGCCACACACUUGCAUUUAUCAGAGAAGAUUUUGCUUGUUUAAAGAAGUUUCUUCAUUAUAUGUAUGUGUAAAUAUGUAUGAAUUUGAGUUGAACAUCAUGUAAAAGGAUUUGAACUUCUGAGUAUUGUGUCAUUGAGUUUUAAUGUUGAAAGGAUCGAAUAAAGCAUAUAAAAAUGAAAAUAUAUUAGAUUUCGUUCGGUAAUCAGUUGUGUUUGAUUUUUAGUUUUUGAAAUUGGAGGCUAGAAACAUUUCUUCUACCUUAAGUUUAUUGUUGUAUUAUAUUCUUCUAACCAAAGCCAAAAUAAUGAAGAUUUUGUUUUUGAAAUUUGACUAAAGAUUCAACUUUUUUAGUCGAGAAAGAUGGAAAUCAUAGUAAAAAUUUGAAAAGAAAUACAUUUCAUUUUAAAAGGUAAAAAACAAAACAGUUACAAAACGAUACGUUAUCAAACCAAACAAAGUUAUAAAUAUCAUCACCCAUUUGAAUUAUGCCCAACUAAAAGAAACUCCCAUAGAAAUAUCAUAAAAAAAAAAAAAAAAAACACCACCCAAAAUGUCUAACUUCUAAAAUGAAACUAGAAUGACAAAGUAAAAAAUAAGGUAGUUGAGUAAGAAAGAGCAACCCCACUUCCAAUCAAAUACUUACUGAAGAAGCGUUGUCCUUCUUCCUUCUUUGUCUUGUCUUGGUUUUUUGUUCUUGUACUUGCUCAACAAGUUGCAACUUCAACCUUCAAAUGAAGUUCCAAGAAACUUCCUUUCUUUCUCUUUAAAAAACAAAUGUGUCAUAGUGUAAAAUCAAAAAAGGCAGUACAAGGCAGCUCUUGAAAACUUCUUCACCAUUACUCUCUUUUUCCUCUAUGGAAAAUGGUAUGCAAAUUAGAAAAGAGGAAGGAAAUCAUGAAACUAUCAAACCAAAUUGCAAUGGCCAAGCUCCCAACAUCUUUCACUCUUCCAACAAUAAUCUUAAAAUCAAUAUUGUUUUUGUCUUUGAACAGUCUUACAAUCCUCUUGUUAUUUGCAGGCAGUGCAGUGGGGACUGUAAUUUUUCACGGUUUUCCUUCCUCUGCCAUUGAUGCCUUUAUUAUUUCAAUUGUCUUUGCUUUUUCAGGUGCUUUGAGUGCUCUUUUGGUUCCUCAAAGGCACAAAUUAGCAAGAUUUUGUGCCUUGUAUUCUCUGGCUUCCCUGGCUUCCGCUCUGCUUCUGCUGAUUUGGGGACUGUAUCAUACACUCAUUCUUGGCAAAGCUCAGAGUGCUUUAUGACCUUAGAAUAUGUUUGGUUCUGGUUUUUGUUAAACCUCUUUUGAGCUUUGAAUCUAAAUAUUCUCCCAAGUGUUUUCAGUAAUGUUUACAAAUAGUUAAGAAUAUGAAGAAGAUCUGUUAAUUCACCUGUACGUCGUACUUUUAAGCCAUCUCUUUUAGUUGAAUCCCUUCUCUUCUCUUCUCUUCUCUUCUCUUCUCUUUCUUUCUUUCUUAAUAGAAUCAAUAUGUUUUUCUUAUUCGUGAGAUUAGGGUUAUUGGGUUCGAUUUUACUUUCUUGUUUGUGAGAUUAGGGUUAUUGGGUUUGGUUUUGGUCCGCGAAGUUUCAAAACAAAACAUUUUCAUUAAGGAAUGAACCAUAAAUCCUAUGUCAGGAGUACAACAAUUGUUGGGUGAAGUACCGAAUCUUCAACCUCUAGGUUGAAAGACUAUGUCAAUUACCAUAGAGUUAAACUUAAUUUGUUUUAGUUAUAAGCUAAAAGAAGUUGUUUAAUUAUUAAAUAGGAAUAUUAAGAAAAUGUUUGGGACAAACCUAGAGUUAUUUAGAUGUGGAGUUUACAAUGCAAUGAGCUAAUAAAGUCCUGAAAUUAAUAUUUGUUAGUCAACCAAAUAGUAGAGUUAACAAACAAUUCCCUCAACUCCCACUCGUCAAGAUAAGUAUGGCCUACGUGUUUAAAGGUGGCUCAUUGAGUAUACAAGAAGAAUGAUAUUUAAUCGGAUUUAUAGUCCUCAAUGGAUUACUUCUCUUUUAAGUCCUAUUUUCGGCCAAACAGAGAAUUUUGCUCCGAAGAAGAUUCUAAGCCAAUUCUCAAUUUUAUUUAUUGAUUUUUUGUUUUUUUUUUUUCCAGAAAACAAACAGCAAGAAGAUCGAACUACAGAACUACAUCAAGAGACACAAGUGAAACAAACCACCCAAGAUAAGGGAAGUAGAUAAGAGAAAAAAAAGGUUGCUCUUCCAACAUCUUAGACGUCGGAGAGUGGGCCAGAACAUCUUAGAGCACCACAUGUCAUUAUCUUCCUACAAAUUGAAAUCUUCCUAUUGUAUACUUUGAAUCCAUGUACUUCGAUAUUCUCCUAUGCAUAAAUCUGCUCAUGAUCGUUCUUGAAUAAUUAUAUAUACAACCUAGUUUAUAAACGUUACAAGUGAUUUGAUUUGAAGGUUUAAGACCCUCCAUAAACCUUCAAUCUCUCAAUAAUAAUGACUAUAAAAGAACUAAUGGUUACCGGGGCCAAGUUGAAAAAAAACCAAAACAAUCUUUUUUAAUAAGUAAUCACAAUACUUUGUUUGUAUUUUGUAUUCUUGUUAUAAUAAUAAAAAGGAGCAUACUGUUAGAUACCUAGAUUUAGAUAGGGCUAAGGGUAGUUAGUUAUAUAAGGCAGUUAGAUGGUUAUAAACAGGGAGUUAGGGAGGGAAGAAAGACAUGAAGAAUUUGGUGAAGAAAUAGGGUUGCUGCAAUAUUCCUUGAAAGAGGGAAAGGACAGAGGGUUAGGGUUCUUUUACUUCUUUUAUAUUCUAAUUCCUAUUGAAAGUAUCAAUAAAAUAGAAACACUAUAUCAGUGUUCUAUCAAAUUGGUAUUAAAGCACUCAUUUCCUGAGAAAUCAAAGGAAAAUGGCAGUCACAGGAACUCUCGAAUCCAUAAUAAAAAAUAUGAAGCGGUUGGGAAUUCAAAUCGAGGAAAUCAACCAACCGAUGUUAAAGUGGAUUGAAAUAGAGAAGGAAGAAACGAAAUGGAGAGGAAUCAAAAACCAAAAGCAGUAAGGAAAAGGAGGAAGCGAAAAGGAGAGAGUUCAAAGAAGAUUCGCUAAUGAAAUAUAUUGAAGACGAGAUUCGUGAGAGAUAUACAACGAGCAAAAUAGAAGAUCCAUCCUGCCGAAUAAAGAUGAGUGAGAAUAAGGUAGAGCAAGGUGAAGAAUCCAUACUUGAAAUAAUUGAGGAAUCGAAAACGUGCAACACGAUUAUUGAGCGCUUAGAGGAUCAAACCGAGAAACAACAACAUAUUCAGUACAUCGAAAGCUUGGCAAAGAAAAAAAUUACAAUCAGUAUAGGAAGCACAACAUCGGCAAGUCAAGUGUUGAUGAUGGACAGUACAGUCAAAGGAAGAAAUAUACGAUUGAAAGAAACCAAGAAUGAAGAACGAAUGAAGAAGAUAGAAAUUGAAGAAGAUAUGAGUAAUCCAAACGAAUUACCAAUGUUUAGCGGCAAGGACUUCGAUUCAAUUUUUUUAGGUACCAAACGAAAAUUACAAAAGUAUACAAGGAAUGAUUUUGGGAAAUUAAUCGAUGCAACAAUAAGGUUCGAUGAAAGGACAUUAGAUUGGUCUCGAUCGAAGAAGGUGAGUGAAGAACUUUUCUGCAGACGAAUUUCAGCAAUCAAACGAAAAGCAAUCGUAGAAGGUCGGCAGGGAAUAAUGGUGAGAUGCGGAACGAAGAUUCAAUUGAAGAAAAAGUUGUUGCUUAAGGAAACCGAAACUAGUUGGUUGCGAUGGAGAAUGAAGAAGCCGGAAGUUAUCUUUUCGCGAUGGGAAAGAAGUAUUAAUAUAAUUAGAUUAUUCUUAGGAGAUAUUAUUCUGGAGAUAUUAUUUUAUAUUAUUAUUUUAUAUUAUUUUCUUAAGUGUAUUUCUCUAUGGUUAUAUAUAGGCUUGUAUCUCUACUAAAUAAUGAAUGAAAUAUAGAUUUAUUCCAUAAAAUCAACAUGGUAUCAGAGCUCUAGGGUUUUCGCCUUAUUGAAUUCUAGCCUCCACAUCCCGUUUGAUCUCUGCCUCCGUUGAUCAUUCAUCAACGGAGGCAGAAUCAUCUCUCAUUAGCCAUCAACGGAGGCAAAAUCAUCUCCCAUUAGCCGAAGCCACCCCUUAGAUCUGCAAAUCUGCCGUUGUCGUUGCACCUUCCCUUUGCCACUCAUUGCUGUUCAAAUCUGCCACUAUCCAAACCCCAGAAACCCCAUUAGUUUUUCACUAGCGUCCGCGGCGGCCAUCUCCUUCAUAGUUCUUCGUCCGACCUCUUGUUUUUCUGUUAGCCAAGCAGCCGAUUGAACCUCUGCCAGUUGAAGCCGAACGCCUCUGCCAGUUGAAGCCGAACGCCCAGCCGAAGAGUUUCGGUUUUGUCCAUCGUCCAAGAAGCUCCGCUCGCCGCUGUGUUUCGUUGUCGUUGCUCCAUCUUUUUAUGUUGUCUCGACAAAACCCAUGAAACCCCAUGUCCUCAGAUCCUCGCGUCCGCCUCCAAUUUGUUCCAGACCUGUAUGAUUUCAUUCAGACCCAUUCUUCAUGUCUGCCUUUGAAGUUUAGAUCGAAGCCCAGAUCCAACGACGCCUCCAUUCUGUUUUUGUUCAGAUCCGCUAAGCCUCUCUGCUCCAUUCAGUUCAGUUUCCGUUCUGUUCGCCCCAGAUUUCCCGUUUAAUCUGAUUCUGACUUGCUCUAGUUUAGUUCGUUCAGUUCCAUCUGAUCCGACAAAACACUUCUGUCCAAUUCCGACCUUGUUUUC
rnacentral:lncRNA from 1 species